CUCCAAGUGCUGAUCUGAAGCUGAAGAUGCUCUGCAGUGGAAUAAGUUUGCUAGUAGAGAAAGGAGUUAAAUGUUUGUAAAACUGUGUGUCAUGUGUAUUCUGAGAGAUGCAUUGUUCUCACCGGCUGGACAAGAAAGUAGUCUGAACGAUUUCUGUAUGCAGGCAGUAACAGUAUUUAAGACUUUUUGAAUUUUCAGGCUACUGCUUGGUGUCAGUAAACCUAAUCUUCUGAAGCUUUUGUACAAACCAACCUACUAGACUGGGGGGAAGUGGGGAGCAGCGUUGCUGACCAUGUAGUAAUCUUCGCCAACUUCGCUUGGCGUGGGAGGUAGCCGCAGUAGUUCAUGUGCGCCUUUGUCCUUGAAGAAGCGGCUCAGGGCAAGUAGCUGAUCAUCGCUCAGACCCGGCGCCGGUUGCACGACCAUGCUCUUCGGCUUCCCGCUGUUGAUCCACUCUUCGAUCACGGAGGUCGCAUCCUUCCUGGUUUCAACAACCCUGACAUCCCGUGGGCUUGGCUUUUGCAACCAGUCCAAGAACUCCUCCCCCAAACGUGCGGCCUGGUUCACCGUCACAAGCUGCGCCACCGCGGGUGCUAUCUUGGACCCGAACGGGACUCCGCAGACCUCAGCCAUAGUGCCAACAACCUCUGCUAGAGGUCCAACCCUCUCAAUAUGCUGUCGGCCAAUGCUGAUGGCGCUCCUCGCCAUCCCGCCCAGGCUCUUGGCGCUCAGAUGGGGCAUCAACUGGCUGCUACGCCUGGGACCUGCGGCUUGAACAACAGGUGAAGCGGGAUUGAACCACCAGAUCACGAUCUCCCGGCAAGAGGCGCUGCUGGCGAGAACGUCCACCUCCACAACCUUGACUGUUGGCAAAGCUGUUUCCAGAAGAUCGACUGCAACUGUGACGGCCUGGUAAAUCUGCUUUGCUCCGGACAUGACCAGGAAGGUAAUGUUACAGGCAUACGUAGGAUCGAACGCGAGCAGCUGGCCAGAGGAAGAGGGGAGGCACAUCUCGCGGGGAACAUCGAACAACAGCUCCCAAUCCCCCUCCUGGAGGUACCAAGUCCUCACCGAACCACCAGCAGAUCGGAGGAGACAGAUCCUCCCGUUGGUGUAGGCCAUGGAUUGCCCCGUAACACGGGCCUCGUCGUCCUCCAGACCCAACUCGUCGGCCUCCGCCCCAUGGACAGGAAACGGAACCAACCUUGCAGUAUCGGCGUUCGGAUCGAAGAGGAGCACCAGCCCGUGCUCCUCAUCCAUGAAGACGUGCUGCCUCAUGGUGUCCUGGCACAGCACGCCAUCCGGCUUGAAGGUUGGCGGCAGCUCCUCCUCCUUCCAGAUGCCCCAGUGGUCUUCGUCGUCGCCGGAAGGCGCGUGGAAACGCCGGGGACGCACCUCCUUGGUCGUCCAGGAAGACGACGACGAGCAGUAGACGAGCGCGCGCAGGUGCGCCCGCCUGGGCGCCGGCGCCGCCGAGGAGGAAGAGGACGACGCGCCCGCGCGCUGGUCCGCUCGCCUGGACGCUGCCGCCGGGGAGGACGAGGACGAGGAAUCCUCUGCUCCAAGUAGGGUGAUCAGGUAGUGCCCGCCGCCUCUGGGGCCAGGGACAAUCCCGAUGCCACCAAGCAGCGCCGCCUCCAGGACGCCGUGCUCGGCGAGGUGCUCCGGGAUCGGUGGAACCAGGUCCACCGAGCCGCUUCCGGGGCGGCAGACGAGCAGGCGUGGAGGGCUGCUGGGACGCCCUUGCUCCUCCGACUCGGACCACACGGCCACGAGGAUGUUGCUCUCCCCGUCGGUGCACAGGACGCGCCCGACGACGUCUUCAGCAUGGUCGCCAGCGGCGAGCAGCGCCCGGGCCCGGCUGAUGGAGAGCUCGGAGAGCUUCGGCGGCUUGGCGCAUUUGACGGCGUAGUGGAUGCCGGCCGGGAACUUCUCGGCAUCAACGAACUGGGGCGUCCGAUGGAGCAGCGCCCACGCGCGGUCCUUGAGCGCCGCGGCGCCGGCGCCGGCGAGGGGAGACCCCAUGCGGCCUCGGUCGGAUUGGUGGGUGGGGGUGGCCCGGUGGUGGUGGGGGUGGUGUGGUCGGUGGCCGAGGGGGUUUAGGGGGAGGGAAUGGGGUUGGGGGCACUCGACGUCGUAUAAGAAGAAGGGAGGGGAGGGGAGGGGAGGGGAGACAGCCUGGACAUGGGAUCCUCGUUUGAAUCCCCGAGUGUGAUUCUGUUAUUGCCAGGUCACAGGGUGGGCCCCCCCCCGCUUCCACGGAUGCAUGCCUAGCGGCGGCGGCCCGGAUGAACGCGCCUCCCAGAGAAGGUUCUAGACGCGGACGCUCGAUCGAGUGAGCACGUCGCGGAGGCCCAAGGAGAAGGAGGCCAGCCGAUCCCCGAGCUCGAGGACGCCAAUGGCCGCCGCCGACCUUUGGAUGCAACGUACGUUGUCAGCUCGUCGAGCACGUGGUACGAAGCAUUGCAUCGAGGCGCCUGGCCGUUCACCGUUGCCAUCAAACCACGACGGCACGGCGGUGAGCACGGAUUAAUAUUGGAGCCCAGCGGCGAGCGAGUCGGUCGCUGGCGGUGAGCACGCCCGCCGAGUACACGGCGAGCGAGUCGGUCGCCGGUGGUGGCUGGAGUCGCUUCCUGCACAUAACAGAGAAAAUGAAAAAACUGCUUUCUCAGGGCAUAAAAAUGAAACAGCAGCUUCAGUCCUUCAAGGUUUUUCUUAACAGUCAGGUUUUUCUCAGGGCAUAAAAAUGAAACACCCGUUGACGUUGAGGAACAGGAAGAUGCGGAGGGCUGAUCACCUUGAAGUCGUCCUCAAGAGAACGCAACGCUUGAUGUACCUCUGGAAAUCGAACUUGCUGCCAGGGGCAAGAAAGAUGGCCGGACAGCUGGCCGGAAUCUGCGUCCGUAACCUAAAUGUACACGUGUGUUUGAGAGGCCCGUUGCCCGGCUGACGUUGCUGGCCGUGCCAACAGCAAGUACUCUUGGAGCCGGCGGCAGUGAGCACGUCCGCCCAGUACACGGCUCCAGCAUGUCGUCCAAAUAUAACGAACUCUGCAUGCGCCUGCCACCUCGGCGAGGCCGUUAAUCCGUCAUCAUUGCCUAGCGCUGCACCACCGGCACGGCGGCCUCGCUCGGGGCUGCGCGCCAGCCGGGCGGCGACGUCCGCGCUGCACGCCCGCACCGGACGUGCUGGCCGGGCCGCAACACUGUCAUCCACCGCGCCACGAGCACCGAUCUUUCCCCGUCGCCCGCGAGCUCGUGUGUUGUCGAUGACGGCAGUGCACGGUCACACGGGUGGUCACAGCCGAGCAUAUUACAUGUAAGCAGAGUAAUAAUGGCAUGAAAAGUCACAUAUUACUGGUAAGCAGAGUAAUAAUGGCAUGUCAUCAUCAUGAUAUGGUUCGUAUGUGUUCAUAUCCACACGUAAUUAAGAUCACACUCGCACAAAUCACAGAUUCACAGCGCGGGCAUGGCGGCGGGCUCCUUCUCCUCCUGCUGGCAGAGGAACGGCGCGUCGGCGUUGGCGUCGCUGCAGUAGAGGCAGGGGUGCUGCUCGAACCCCUUCUCGCGCAGCACCUCCCUGGCCCGGGUCACCACCUCCCGGUUGCUCACCGGCGCCGGGUGCGCCGCCAGCACGGCCUGCACCGCGCUGCUGAACGCGCCGCACGCCUUGCUGCCCCCCUCCCCCGCCGCCUCGUCGUCGUCCCCCGACACGUCCGCGGACGUCUCGUCCGUCUGGCACCCGCUCAGCAGGAUCCCGCCGUCGGGGCUCGGCGCGCUGUCGUGGUGGCGCGGGUGGUGGAACUUGUCGCUGGCGUCAGCGCCGAAGAGCGCGAGGAGGUGGUCAGCGACGUGGUGGGACGCGCCGAGACCCGAGGCGCCGGAGAGGUAGCCGACGACGGCGGCGUACGGGAGGAAGCGGGCGCGGGCAGAAGCAGCUGGUGGUGCACGGCUGUCGACGGCGAGGUCCCCUGGUCGAUGAGUCCGCCGCUGUGGCCAGAGUCGGACACCAUGGUGAAGGUCGCGCCCUGCGGCACACUGUCCACGAGCUGCCGGAAAUCCACGUCCGUGAUGAGGUUGAAGUCGCAGGGCACGAUGGCCUCGUCCGUCAAUUGCUGUUGAUACGAUCAUUGAGGGUAUCUGUGGGUGCCAAUGCAGUUCUUUCAAAUCUCUCUGGCCCUGCUCAUACAAACAGUCAGGGUCAUGUAUUUCACUCUUUACAAGCAAUAGAACUGUGCAGGAAAAAUGAUGCAGCCACCAACGGUGAGGCCAUAAGUCGGUUAAUUUCUAACGCCAUCGUGAUAAAAUGAGAGAAAAAUUUAAUAGUAGUACCUGAUGAACAAAGAGAAGUUGUGGGGGUAAAUCUUCAGGUGCAUUUGCCUGCUCUUUCAUCUUCGCUCUGAACUCAGCUUCCUCUUCUGCAUCUCUUUCCAAUGAAAGGUCCCAAAUUCUAAAUCCAGACAAUUCAUGAGAGGUGUCAGCAAAUACUGGGAAAACAUUUUGGCAAUCCAGUGGAUCUAAAACAGGGAGGAGGGAGUGUUACGUGAGUUGAUGAUCUUCGGAUGUUACAGCUAAUGAUGAUGCUUCAUGUGGACUCCACUCGAUAGAUGUAAUUGCUUUCUUGUGGUACUCAAAAUGUGCUACCAACGAGUCCUCCUACCAGUACAAUAGAGAGCAUAAAGAAAAAAGAUUCACAAGCAAUAGUGAAGAAGUACAUAACCACAAUUACUAUCAUCAAUACAAAUAGCCGAAUAUGUCAAGAUAAACUGGGCAACAUGACAAGGGUACUACACCACGGUAACCAGCUGCACUGAUUUGUGCAAAGUGCACUAUUUACAUACUAGCAAUGAUGCAAAUAUCUACUGUAGGCUAUCUAUUUCAAAAAUCUAGUAGCAAAAACGUAGCUUAUAGAUUUUGAUCUAUUAGAUGGUUUAUUCAUUUUCUAAUAUCUUCGGAACACCCAAUCAUGUGUAAUUUUCUUUCCACAUAUUGCACAGAGGCAAACAGGGCCCAAUUUAGAGCAAAUUAUAGAAACACAAAUUAAGGAAAAUGUCAAGUUGGUUACACCGAAACUCACAAGCAUAGAAAAUUCUGAUAUAUCAAGGAGGAAAUACCUGAAUUGAUCUAAGAUCACGAACUGAGAAACUGCCAUCAUCACACCCUGAAGCUAUCAUGCAGCUAGCAAGCCUGAUAAUGCAAGUCAGAACAUGUGUAAAAUACUAUGCAGCAGAAGUUAUAGUACUCAUAAGGUUAAGAGUUUUCCAGUGGAUAUACCUAUUCCAUGAGAUAACAUUAGCAUCGGUUUUAUGAGCCUUGACAGACAUACGAGGUUUCUUCCCUGUACGUAUAUCCCAUAUCGCUAUUGUACCAUCCACAGAACAAGAGGCAAAUAUGUCGGCUUCCGUGGGACUCCACUGCAAGGAUAUACUUAUAUUAGUUGAGACAAUCACAUUCAAGGAAACAUAUGAAUAGGUACAUGAUGCAUCAUUCAGUGGCAUGCCUGAAGAUCUUCAACACUUGCAGAGUGUCCAACAAAUGGAUUUGGAUCUACAUUCCAGUUGGUUGGAGUUGGCUCCCACAGGUGAAUGCACUUAUUGCAGUCACCUGCAUAGAAAAAUCAUUAAGUCAUUCCAUCAAAAUAUCUAUACACGAAAUUAAAUGGUACCAAUAAUCUAUGGACAUGGAAUAGAGAGAACCACAUCAAAACAUUUUAGAUGACAAACAUUGUGAAAUGGACAAGAUCAUGUACACACCGGAAACAAGUCUUCCAGCAACAAGCGGACUCCAAUCAAUUGCAUAUCCCUCAUCUUUAUGGCCACUAAAUACUUUCACAGGUAAGUGUUUGUGGAUUAUGUCAUCUUCUUUGGGUGCAGGUGCCCCUGACUCAGCUAAAGAAUUAAGGAAGGAGCUCAAGUCCCACACCUGCAUAUUUAGCAACCGGCAAUGCACAAAAAAAGUCAAAAUAGUGCAUUCUGUUUCUGGACAGGUUUUCAAAAAGAAAUACAAUGCAUAUAGAAUAGAUGACAGGUUUAGAUUGCCAUUGAUCACAAUAACUGAAAAAGAAGUGUGAGGUAAGAACUGAAUUACCUGAACAUGACCAGUAUCACCCCAUGUAGCACAUAUAUGUGGUUUUUGAGUCAUUGAGCGUAUCCGAUUUACACAACCCGCAUGGGCCACUUUUUUUAGCUGGUACAUUGAAAUGUAGCAACAGAACACAUCACAAACUGUGUAUCAGCAUUACUUGCUAGAUAAUGAAAAACCUUGAUUUUUGUGGCAUAGUUUAGAAUUAUGAUCUUGAUUAGAAACAUACAUGUAAGAUGGGCUUUGUAUCCUCAUUAAUUUCUUCAUCUUCUUCAUCGCUGCUGCUGUCACUAUCCACAUCAGUGUCACCAUCAACUGCUGAAGGUGGUAUAGGUUCCCGCUUCUUCCCACUUAUGUUAGAAAGCUUGAAAAUGCCAAUAUAAUUCCAUGGAGCCUUCUCAGCCUGAAGAACAGUUUAGCUCCAAACUCAGAGAGACAAAACUAAUGUUUAAUGAUUAUUUGCAUUUCCACCAAUCUUUUGACAUCCUUUAAGCUGAAAUUUCCAGAGGAAGACCAAUUCAUUCAUAAAAGUUGAUGAAUUUAUGCUCAAAUUAAACUUCUAAUGAUCCAAAUUCGCUCAUUCGCAAUCAAUUACAAUUUGUAGUAAGAAUCAGGGUAUAAAUGCCCACAAGUUUCUGGCACGUUUUUUCUCUUUUGAGCUUAGAAUCAGCAAUGGCACACUUUUCAAAUAAAAAACAACUUAAUAAGAACACAAAUACAAACAUGCAACACCAUAGCAUGUUCCGCUGACAUUUUCUGCAAAAUUAAAAUUAAACUAUAGAAGAACAGGUGCAAUAGUACAAAUUAAUAUUCCUGUAGAAACGAUAAUUUAGAAAAGUAAAAAAAAAUAUGUGAAAGACAUGAAGUCAAGAAGUAAAAAUGUCUAGGUUUUGAAGUUGUAAAGAGUAACGCAACCUGUGUUCCAGCAACACCAUAGAAUGUAUGGGGGAACUCUGAUCGGACGAGUCCAAGUUGAUCGCGCACAACAUCAAAACUGCAACGGAAGGUUAUUCAUUGAGAAUGGAUCACAUAUUGGCCUUAACUUACACCCAAAUAAAGAAACAAUGCCCUAUGCGGGGAAACAUUACCUCAAGCAAGACCAGCCAAUGCUAAACCCUCGGAGAUAAUUGUAAGCCUCAGGAUCAAACUGGAGCUCCUCCCCAUCUUCCAGUGCAUCUACACCCGGUUGCCAGACCUAAGACGAAGCACUAAUUAAGGGUAUAGCUCGCACACUGAAACAAUAUGCAUCAUCUUAGAAAAGGAACAAACUUAAAAAAAAAACUUCAAAGCACAAAGGCGAUUCAUUAGGCGUAGCUUUUCGGGCAAACAUCACUAUUCCGGCUGUGUGAAAAAAAAGGAUAGGAAAUUUCUUCCUCACCUUGGCCGGACCAGAGGCAACCACAGGAUUAGAUGACGAUGAAGCUUCAACUUUCUUCAUCCCAGAAAUACAGAAGAAUUAGGCAAGUGAAGCAAAGAACAUACUGAAACAGCUGAAGAAACAAGCAUCAAUUGGAGCUCCAGAAAUAGUAUCUUGUAUGGUACCUUGGUCUUCUUGGAUUUAGUCAUUUAGCCUUCUUGGCCUUCUUGAUGGUGCGACCCAUGAGUGAAAGAAAUCAAUAAACUAUUGCAGGACAGAGCGCCGCAGAGGUGGGAGAACUUGGACUUGAGAGGCAGAACUCGAUCUUUAAAGAUAAGGAAAGAAAACAUAAACUCUUAAAACUUAACUUCAUCGCCCAAGUAAGUUAAAAAGGCAAAAAAUUAUUAUGACCUUGAAAUUCUCUAAUUAAAUCUAAUUAUGUAAUCAUAACUUAGUUUAAAUAAUAAUUUCACAUUAUUAUUGGACUUAAAAACACAAUAAAACAAGGCCUAAAAAAUUUAAGCAUAAUAGACAAUAUCAUAAGAAUGAAUAAAACAUAAGACAAACACUUAAGAUAAUUAAGCCCAGAACUUAUCUCAAUUUGGCCCAUAAGACAAAUACAUCCCACACUUACUCUAAUAUUCUUUUAAUGAUCUAGUCCACAUCAACUUUUUCAAGAAAUGGACAAUAUUAGUACAAUUUUACAGUGAAAUAUUAACCACAUGUCUCGUAAACUUCAUUUAUUAAACAACUCCACAUUACUGCUGGGAAAAAAUGAAGAAGAAUAAUAAUAUUUGUGGACACAUGAAUAAAUGUUCAUCAGAAUGACAAAUAUAAACCACACUAAUUCAAUUAGAGACAUGACCGUCCUAAUGAAUGCACAGCCCAACGUUUACCUAAAAGAAAAAAAAACAUAAUUUUUCAUAAUAAUAUUCGUGGACAGAUGGAUAAAUGUUCGUCAGAAUAACAAAUAUAAAAUUAUUUCAAUUAUUGAAAUUAUUUAGAGACAUAGUUAAUUCGGCCGAUGAUGGCAUACUGGCCGUGAUUUAUCUGGUAGCAUACAUACGGUAAUGUUUGGUACUUUCAUUGCACAGUGCCACACACAUAAUACAAUCGUAUCAUAUAUAGAGAACUGAAACCAUUUGCUGUCAAAGAGUGCUACCUGCUCAUGCAUCUUGGGUGUAAUGUAGCUACUUGGAUGAAGCGGUCGCAUGUGAAAAACGCUUAAAUGACUACACAUAUUGUUACUGCAUCAUUGCAUCAUUUUGAUCCACUGAAUCUCAGGACUGCUAUGUGUUUUGGAUUGAAAAUACAACCGUUUUCUCUCUCCUUUGUUAUUUUACAUCAUUGUUCCCUUCGGUCGUACAUGUACGAUAAGGUUGCUGCGUCGAUAAUGCAAUGAAUGUUUAUCUGAGUUGUCAUGGUCUAAGCCGUCGGGAUUAAGCGGGCGGCCCAGUCUGCGCCCUCCGCGGCUCGGGCCGCCCGACCCCUUGGGUAGAUCUGCAGGCCGGCGCGGCACGGAUCUGCAGGCGUCCUCGCCCCGUCCCCUCGUGCGGUCGCGCCCUCCGCGGCUCGGGCCGCCCGACCCCUCGAGUGGAUCUGCAGGCCGGCGCGGCGCGGCACGGAUCUGCAGAUGGCCGUCCCCGUCCCCUCGCGCGGUCGCGCCCUCCGCGGCUCGGGCCGCCCGACCCCUCGGGUGGAUCUGCAGGCCUGCGCGGAUCUGCAGGCGGCCGGCCCCGUCCCGUCGCGUGGUCGCGCCCUCCGCGGCUCGAGCCGCCCGACCCCUCGGGUGGAUCUGCAGGCCGGCGCGGCGCGGCGCGGAUCUGCAGGCGGCCAGCCCCGUCCCCUCGCGCGGUUGCGCCCUCCGCGGCUCGUGCCGCCCGACCCCUCGGGUGGAUCUGCAGGCCGGCGCGGCGCGGCGCGGAUCUGCAGGCGGCCGGCCCCGUCCCCUCGCGCGGUCGCGCCCUCCGCGGCUCGGGCCGCCCGACCCCUUGGGUAGAUCUGCAGGCCGGCGCGGCACGGAUCUGCAGGCGGCCUCGCCCCGUCCCCUCGUGCGGUCGCGCCCUCCGCGACUCGGGCCGCCCGACCCCUCGAGUGGAUCUGCAGGCCGGCGCGGCGCGGCGCGGAUCUGCAUGCGGCCAGCCCCGUCCCCUCGCGCGGUCACGCCCUCCGCGGCUCGUGCCGCCCGACCCCUCGGGUGGAUGUGCAGGCCGGCGCGGCGCGGCGCGGAUCUGCAGGCGGCCGGCCCCGUCCUCUCGCGCGGUCGCGCCCUCCGGGGCUCGGGCCGCCCGACCCCUCGGGGGGAUCUGCAGGCCGGCGCGGCGCGGCACGGAUCUGCAGGCGGCCGUCCCCGUCCCCUCGCGAAGUCGCGUCCUCCGCGGCUCCGGCCGUCCGACCCCUCGGGUGGAUCUGCAGGCCGGCGCGACGCGGAUCUGGAGGCGGCCGGCCCCAUCCCCUCGCGUGGUCGCGCCCUCCGCGGCUCGGGCCGCCCGACCCCUCGGGUGGAUCUGCAGGCCGGCGCGGCGCGGCGCCGAUCUGCAGGUGGCCGGCCCUGUCGCCUCGCGCGGUCGCGCCCUCCGCGGCUCGGGCCGCCCGACCCCUCGGGUGGAUCUGCAAGUGGCCAUCCCUGUCCCCUCGCGCGGUCGCGUCCUCCGCGGCUCGGGCCGUCCGACCCCUCGGGUGGAUCUGCAGGCCAGCGCGGCCCGGCGCGGCGCGGAUCUGGAGGCGGCCGGCCCCAUCCCCUCCCGCAGUCGCGCCCUCUGCGGCUCGGGCCACCCGACCCCUCGGGUGGAUCUGCAAGCGGCCGUCCCUGUCCCCUCGCGCGGUCGCGUCCUCCGCGGCUCGGGCCACCCGACCCCUCGGGUGGAUCUGCUGGCCGGCGCGGCGCGGUGCGGAUCUGCAGGCGGCCGGCCCCGUCCCCUCGCGUGGUCGCGCCCUCCGCGGCUCGGGCCGCCCGACCCCUUGGGUAGAUGUGCAGGCCGGCGCGGCACGGAUCUGCAGGCGGCCUUGCCCCGUCCCCUCGUGCGGUCGCGCCCUCCGCGGCUCGGGACGCCCGACCCCUCGAGUGGAUCUGCAGGCCGGCGCGGCGCGGCACGGAUCUGCAGGCGGCCGUCCCCGUCCCCUCGCGCAGUCGCGCCCUCCGCGGCUCGGGCCGCCCGACCCCUCGGGUGGAUCUGCAGGCCUGCGCGGAUCUGCAGGCGGCCGGCCCCGUCCCGUCGCGCGGUCGCGCCCUCCGCGGCUCGAGCCGCCCGACCCCUCGGGUGGAUCUGCAGGCCGGCGCGGCGCGGCGCGGAUCUGCAGGCGGCCAGCCCCGUCCCCUCGCGCGGUCGCGCCCUCCGCGGCUCGUGCCGUCCGACCCCUCGGGUGGAUCUGCAGGCCGGCGCGGCGCGGCGUGGAUCUGCAGGCGGCCGGCCCUGUCCCCUCGCGCGGUCGCGCCCUCCGCGGCUCGGGCCGCCCGACCCCUUGGGUAGAUGUGCAGGCCGGCGCGGCACGGAUCUGCAGGCGGCCUCGCCCCGUCCCCUCGUGCGGUCGCGCCCUCCGCGGCUUGAGCCGCCCGACCCCUCGGGUGGAUCUGCAAGUGGCCGUCCCUGUCCCCUCGCGCGGUCGCGUCCUCCGCGGCUCGGGCCGCCCAACCCCUCGGGUGGAUCUGUAGGCCGGCGCGGCGUGACGCGGCGCGGAUCUGCAGGCGGCCGGCCCCGUCCCCUCGCGUGGGCGCGCCCUCCGCGGCUCGAGCCGCCCGACCCCUCGGGUGGAUUUGCAAAUCGGCGCGGCGCGGCGCGGAUCUGCAGGCGACCGGCCCCGUCCCCUCGCGUGGUCGCGCCCUCCGCGGAUUGGGCCGCCCGACCCCUCGGGGGGAUCUGCAGGCCGGCGCGGCGCAGAGCCUCCCCUCGGUGAACCUCAUACCGCAGCGCCUUGCAGCUUCCUCUACAUCCGCCGCGGCCAGAUCGCCGUGGGGCGUCACGGGUGCCUCCAUGCCUAGAUUGCCACCGUCGUCUUUAGCGUCUGGGAAUGCGACGCACCUCGCCGUUGCCGUGCCCGGCCUGAAGAGGAGGAUCAGGUCGUGCUCGAGGUCGAUGAACAGCAGCUGGGAGCCGUCGUUACGUGCGACGACGGUGUGCGCCUCGAACGUCAGCCACUCCUGCCCGCCCGUGACCUCUAACAACUUCCAGUCUGCCUCGUCGUUCGACAGUUCCUCAAAGUGGCGCGGAAGCUGGGCGGCCAUGUCCGUGGCUGUCCAGGAUGAUGAAGAGGAUGUGAAACAUAUCAUGCGGUGGUGCACAAUCGACGAUGAAGAGGAGGAGGGGCGCGACGCCGAAUCGCUUUGAAGUUGUGCCACCACGUAGUGGCUGCCGGUGGCGGGGAGGAUCCCGGUGCAGUCUUGGAGCCCGAACUAUAGGACGACGAGCCCCGCAGGGACCCUAGGCACCUGGCGUGCCCUACGGCUCCCGGUAAGGCAGACGAGAAGGUGUCCGCUGUCGGGCCCUCCCCGUGCCGAUAGCACAAAGAGUAACAGGUUUCCCUCUCUGACGGUGCACUCCACGCGGCUCUCGUGGUCGCCUAGGGGAAUCAACGUGCAGCUGAGGAGGAGGGUGGGGAGCCCCGAUGGGGUGGCGUGGAGGACAGCGUAGUCAGCAUCCAACGCUAGUAGGUCUUGACGGUCGACGAGCUUGGGAUUUCUCUCGAGAACAGCCCACGCGCGAGCGCGACGGUAAGGUCCGGCCGCGCGAGACGCGGCCCUGACGGCGGCGGCGGUGAGGCUUGGUCGCGAAUCCGACAUAGGGUCGGUCACGACCUGAGCGUGGGGGGUGGGUUUCGGUAGUGAGGGGGUGGUCGGCGAGGGAGAGACGGAGGAGGGGGUUUAGGGGGUGUGAGGAACGGCGGUGCCUGCGCUGGUGGCCUGGUUAUAUUAAAAAAAGGAGGAAAAAAAGGGGAGGGGAAGGGGAAGGGGAAGGGGAGGAUCGGACAGCUGGCUGGAAUCUACGUCCGUAACCUAAAUGUACACGUGUGUUUGAGAGGCCCGUUGCCCGGCUGACGUUGCUGGCCGUGCCAACAGCAAGUAAUCUUGGAGCCGGCAGCAGUGAGCACGUCGCCCAGUACACGGCUCCAGCAUGUCGUCCAAUAUAACGAACUCUGCAUGCGCCUGCCACCUCGGCGAGGCCGUUAAUCCGUCAUCAUUGCCUAGCGCUGCACCACCGGCACGGCGGCCUCGCUCGGGGCUGCGCGCCAGCCGGGCGGCGACGUCCAUGCUGCACGCCCGCACCGGACGUGCUGGCCGGGCCGCAACACUGUCAUCCACCGCGCCACGAGUACCCGAUCUUUCCCCGUCGGCGGCGAGCUCGUGUUGUCGAUGACGGCAGUGCCGAGGCGGUGAGCAUGGUGCACGGGUGGUCACACGUGGUGCCAGUUGGGCUGAGAAGCGUGCGUGGCCGGAUCCACUUGUGCUCGAACACGGCCGCCGUCCGAGCGCUUCUUCAUCGAUCGCCAGGAGGCCAGUGGUGGCUCUCAAGACGGCGAGCUCGAGUACACCAAUUGGCGCCAGCCUUUGAUAUGAUGCUGCCUCUGUGGAGGACGAGCCUGCCAGCCCAGCAAGAGGCACGCGAACGGGCUGGGGUCACGCCGCCGGCGACCUCGACCACCAAACUUGAUGUGGCGCCUCUGUGGUCAUGUCCUUCCACAUGGAGGGAGAUCUCCAUUCUUGACUUACUCCACCCGCGCUUGCAGCACCGCGCCAUGAUCGGCGAGCGGCCAUGCGGCGUCACGCGCGCGCUGCGGCUGCGCCGACAUCACGCUCAUGCCUGCGGUGCGCUGCGCUGCGCUCGCUCCAGCUGAGACGACACGUUCGCCGACGCCUACGCCACUCUCUCGAUCGCCUCCAUGACCACGCACGUCCAGAACAGCGGCGCGCUCGCCGUAGGCCAUCUAGCUAGCUGUGUUGCUGCUGCAUCCAUCCUGCUCUCGAAAACCUCCGGCACGACGGGGCUCGAGCACCCACGGCGAGUGCGGCUGCGAGCUCGCCGGCGACGAUGACGAGCACGGAGCACGGGUCCAACACGUCGACUCAAUGAACUGUUCUUGCCCUGCCAGCUCGGCGCUCGAGGCCGUGUCGAGGAGCGUGCGUGCCCGGAUCCAGUUCGUUCCGUUCUGCCGGUGCUUGGCCACGCAGCACGCGUCGACGGGCGCCGCUCUCGCGCCGUUCCGGAGCUUCUUCAUCGGCAGGGGGCCGGUCGAUCGCUCGCAAGACUGAGAGCUCGAGGACACCAAUGGGCGCCAGGAUGGCUGGAAGUUGCCGGCUUAUAUUACGUCGUCAGCUCGUCGACGACGUGGUACGCAGGAUCGUACAUAGUAUUCGCAAAGCUGCACUUUGCUCAUGAGCUCGUGGCGCCAUCCCCUGUACGUCCCAGUCAUUACCGGUCACCACUGCCAUUGGCUUGAACUUGUUCUUGUCGUGACGAGCUGGCCCAGCACCUCGUGUUGUCAUCAAACAGUGUAAUAUAUCAAUUUUCCAAGCGUUGUAAACUAAAUUGCGUUGCACAUGCGACUGUUUCAGUCUUCUCUAUGCAUUGCUAACAUGAUAAUGCCAUUUUCUUGCACUAUGACAUCAUAUUGUCAUCUCUCUCGUUCGGCCACACUACUCUAUAUGCUUCAUUUGUACUGUUGGGGAACUGCCAGGAAAGGCUCGAAGGUCAGUAUGAGCCCGAUGACCUCUGUCAAAUUCAAUAGCAGAAACACCAUAUGGUCUCCUGAACAUACAUGAAAAAUGCAAGGAUCAAUCAAAUACAUCUUCCAAUCGACACCCUCCAUGGUGAUUGUACUAGGGUAAUAUUGGAGUAACUUUUUUUUAUAUGCAAUAAAUUAUCACACUUGUUUUAUACAUUAGAAUGGUAGCACUGCAACUUAUAUGGUUCUUCAAACUAAAGCAUAUAUAUAGUCUAUACCUGGAAAAAAUGCGGCAUGUUGGCGUUUUUGUGCCCAUGAGAAUCUGCAUCCAGAGGUAUUUCAACAGUGAGUCUCUUCUUCUGAAUACAUGUGUUGUUUGGAUUGGUCCAUGCUUUCAUUCUUAUCAGACAAAAUGCAAUCACUAAGCUAGGAAUAUUAGUUUAAAAUAGCAAAAUUUUCUCCACUAAGAAUUGAGAUAGCAUUAUAUGAACAACAAGAAUGCAAGAAAGCACCAGCCAUACGUACAUAAUGCCUGCUCCAGCUGGAGCAAAAGCCUUCGACAAAGACAUUGCUGUUGUAGCUAUUCCAUUUGCAGCACCCCUUUGUUCUUGUGGCUAUGAAUAGCAUUCAAUUCAGAUAUUAUAUUUAUUUACGAUUUUGGCAUUAGUACGAAUACCAAUCAAUUCUUGUUAAGAUAUGGGAUAAUAAAUAAAUCGAACAGACAUAAGUUGACACAUACCACAGCAUUGUUCUGUAGCAGAGAAGUGCCAGUAACUCUUGUUAUCUGAUCAAGAUACGCACAUAUAUAACCAUCAUUUUAUUUCUCAUAAAUUUCUAAUGCUAUAUAUGAGCGUACCUAUUUAACCAUGUAUAGUGUAGUGGUAAGUGAGGUGAUGUAUUUUAACUAUCAUCAUAAAGUACUUACUGCAAAAACACUUUUUAGCAUUGCUGCAAUGUAGAGUGGCACACCGAGUCUUAUUCCUGAUAAGUGUGUCAUAAAGGGAUAAGCAGCAAUUAUUGGUAUAGACAAUGCCUGCGAGCUCAAGAUCAAUUGUUAAGAACUACAAGUAUUUUUAACAGAAAAAUAGGCAAUAAUAAGUACAGACAAACUACAAAUAGUCAAAUAAUUGUGACUUUAGCAACUCACUGAUGAAAUUUGGGUUGAGUGGAUAGGUCCAAAAGUUUUAUUAACCCAAUGGUAUGCAAAGAGUUGAUAAACUAGAAGGCUGGCGCCUACAAUUCAACGAAGGAUGAUUAUUGACCUUCCAUAAAGUACAGUCAGUACAUCUUAUUAACUAUAAAACACAAAAAACACUGAUCAAAUGGUUGCGUAAGAUUCCUUAGAGUUUUUGGGAAAGCAGUUGAUUGAAUUGGAAUUACCUGCAACUGUAAGAACUUGGCCCACAUCUUUAGAUAAAAAGCUAAGCCCACCAUAUUUUCUAUUACUUACAGUCCAUAGAGAAAAUAUCUGAUAUUGAAUUACAACAAAUAAAUUUCAGAACCAUUGUAUUUCAAAGUAGCAGAGCGGAUCGAGUAAGUGGUACCUCAGCAUAUGCAGUGUCAUGGAGGGAGAAGACACAAUAUGUGAUAAUAGAUGACAUCAAUGGCCAGUUUUUGAGUAAGCUCUUUUUAGGUAGUUCUGUGCUUUCUUGAUUAGUAGAACUUUCUACCAUUUCAACUCCUCUGUCAAGGCCUUUGUGCUUAUGUAGGGUCUCCUGUUUAUAGUUAGUCCAUGAAUGAUAAGUAAAUUAAAAUAACAGUAGAAAAAGCGCAUGUGUGUAAGAUUAUCGAGCCUUUGUGUAUUUUAAGGUAGGAUAGAAUAUUAACAUGGAAUCGACUACUUUAGUGUUCCAACAAGACAUGUUUAUGUGUAAAUUAAUCAUAAAACACACGAAAAACUCUUCAUGAUGACAUUAAAACAAUAAUUUCAAAGCAUACAUAGAGUCAUAGAGUAGGUCGUACUUACCGGGAGCCAUGCACAACUUAUGAAAACAAAGGUAUCAAAAAGUGAGAUACAUAUACAUGGCAAUAAAUAUGGGAACCUGCAUGAUGUUGGAUCAACAAGAUAAAAUUUUAAAAAGAUCAUUCUAGCUUAGUGUUAAAAAGAAAUUUAAUUUUAGCUGAAAGGAAUACCUUCCAAACACUGACUUCUCAUGAAACAGAUGUGGAUAUUGUUUGACAGGCUAGCAAUAAGGAUGGAAGACACAAUAGGUUAAUAUUAAUCCAAAUAGUUGAGAAAUAAUAUAUAAUCUGUGUGAGAUACCUGUGCUAGGUAGCCCCCAAUUGCUGGGCCAAUUAUAACACCCAUUCCCCAUGCUGUGCUGACCUAAAUUUGAUGAAAUGGAUCAUACUGAGUUCCAGGUACGCAAUUAUUUAUGUCAUACUAUGCGGCAAGUGCUGAGCGUUUAUAUGUGGAAUUGAAACCUACAAUUGAUAUACCCAAAGCUUGCUGUUCAGGUUGACAAACUUCGAUGGAGUAGGCCUGCAGAAGAAAGCAACAAUUACAUUAUAUUGAUUGGACCUUUGCUGGAAUCAGGGCAGCAACUGAUAGUAAAAUAUUUCUUUUAUUUGUUUUUAGGAAUUGCCACUUGUAUGCAUGCAACUAAAUACCUUAAUUUACUGGUCCGUUCAAAAAAAAGUACCUUUACUGGUGCAAGGAAUCCAUUCAGGGCACCAAGAAGAAACCUUGUUGCGAUAGCCAUCCAAUAUUUCACACUCAGUCCAAACAAAGUGUUGAAGACAAUGCUAAAAUACAGGUUUGGAAAUGGGUCAGAGAUCAUACGUAACAUAAUGCAGGUCUACUUUUGGAGUACAUUUUGGUUCCCUUUCUUAGGUGAAGAAAGAUAUAUACCAUGAGUACUUACACUGAAAAUACUGAAAUUGCAAUUACAGGCUUUCGUCCAAUACGAUCAGCUACUAUACCCCAGAAGACUGAGGCAAUACCUCUACCGAUCAUAUAUGACGCACCUAAGGGAAAAAAAAAGGCAGGUACGCACCAUAUAUGAUAAUUUUCAAGAGCAACAAGUAUGCUUGGUUGUUGUUGACACUUGGCUGUGAUAAAUCUUACCAAGAAAACCAGCGUAGAAUCCAAUGUCUUCUUCUUUUUGAGCAACAUGCAUGUCUCUUAUCUGUUUUAGAAAUCAGCAGUUUAUUAAAAAAAACACAUAUUUGAUUGAGAUAUCAGUUACUACAUGAGUACAUAACGUUUCAGAAGAAACAUCUACAUAGCUGGCACAGCCAGUCGAGGAGGAAGAAUGUCCAGCAAUAAAAAAAAAAGAGAGAAGCGAGGAUAUCCGAUCCAAAUCUAACAAGAGUUGCAGUAAAAUAAAACCAUCCAUGGAUACGAAGCGAUUAAGAAAUGAAGGAAUUAGUAGUAUGCCGUAGCAUCAGCAUGUACGUUGGCUGGAUAGAUAAUGACGUAUAUUAUUGUACGUACCCGAGGCGAAGGUGAUGAUGCCGACGAAGAGUAGCUCCUUGUAGGGAACGCCCUUGUGGCUCUCCUUCUUCCUGUCCAUGGCGCAGCCGGGACACCCCUCGUAGUACACCUUCCCUGGCGGCGAUGGCGGCGGCGGCAGCUCCCCCAUUUCAGCUCAGCGCGGCCGAGUGAAAGGCGAUGAAUGAGUAGGAUCGAGCAGGGCGAGGCGCGUCAGAAGAGAGGAUGAGGAGAGACAGAGAAAGGCUAGCUGAAGGAUCUGAAGGAAGGAGCGGAGGCGUGGAAGGAAACGUGGAAGGUGCCGUGGGUCCUUCCCUUGGUCGUCGGUCCGCGUGCCGGCGUUACGUCUGCGCCACAAACCGAUGGCGAGGACGCUGAGCGGGGUGACAGAUGGCCUGCGACCUGACACGCCUGCGCGGGGGGCCCUACCGUGCUCGGGCGACGCCUGCCUGCGGAUGUGCCCCUGUGCAACGCCGACUGCAAGUCUGAGAGCGAUCGAGGCAUGUGUCGCGAAGCCACUCUGAAGUCUGAAUACUGAGCAGGAAAAAAAGAUGUGAAAGUUAAAGACGGGGACCUGACUAGGACCGAUAUUGACGAAACUAGCAGCCGUCAAUCUGCAUCGAGCAAUGGCGGCCUGGGGAAGGAGAUCAUCCUACCAGAAAACCUCAGGUGAUUGGUCACUCCAUAAGUCAGUCCACUGCAGUGGAAGAAUGUGUGAGUGACUAGGUAGGUAGUGAAAAAUUUCCGCAGGCUUCUUCGUUGAUUACCUGCUAAAAGACUGCUCCCGAUCGAAGAAGCUGCUGGAUAUUCCUGUUCGCCACCUGCCGGAAAUUGACCUCAACGGCACCAGCGACAGCGAACAGAGAAAAGGAGAUCCAAACGACAAAAGGAGAUGCACAGGCGUUGUUGGGCUGCAAAUUAAAUCCUUCACUGAUUUCCCCUGGAUUUUCUUUGUAAAAAGAAAGAUACCCUGGAUUUUCUUUCAGGCCAUGCAUGCAGCCUGCUAAAAAGAGCCUUUCAGUUUCAGGUAAGGACGUCAGGCUGACAUGCUCAGGAUGGAUCGUCAGAUAUAUUCGUCCAGACAGGAAUAGUUGUACUUGAACCACGUCACUAGCUACGUCAGUGCGUGGACGCAAGGUGAUCCACCAAAUGCGCGGGUGCCUGACUCCGGAGACGGAGAGGAAUCGAGUGCCCGCUUGCAAACUGCAGACAGCACAAAUCGGAGUUAAACGACGCCGUGUCAAAGCAUCCAUUCAGCUUCAGCUUGUCACUGUCUCUUCCGAAUAACAUUAGAGAGACGGCAUGCAGGGUGAUGAUGGCAACGAAGAGCAGUUCCUUGUAGUGGAUGCCCCUGCGGCUCUCCUUCUUCCUGUCCAUGGCGCAGCCCGGGCACCGUCGUAGUACACCUUCGCCGGCGCACCGUCGGCCAUUUCAGGUAGGUCCGGCGGCCUCUCAGCCUCGAUCGAUCGAGGCAACCGAUGAACCGAGGAUCGCUGACAAAAGAUCACUGUGUCUGCCUUUCAGCUGGUAAACAGCGAGCGAAAGAGAGAGGCUAGUGGUGACCAGAGCAGGCGAUGAACUGGCUUAAAAACCCUAAGCUAGAAGGCAACGAAUUUAUGUAGCUAUCGCGUAUCUGCAAGUGGUUACUAGUUUUAUCAGCCAUACAUAAAAAGCUAGCCAUCUCUAAUGGAUGGAUGCUCACUUUCAUCAUGAAAAUCAAUAAAAGCUUUCUUUAUCAGAAAAAAUACAAUACUGCUACACUUUAUCUGAUCAAAGUUGUAACCACAGAAGUGCGUUGUAGCCUACAGUACUAGUGCCAAAUGACACCAAGGAGAUAGAGCUAAGAGUUUGGACGCUACCUAUCCCACAUACGGCUAAUGUUUAUUCUACCAUAGCGCUGGGACACAGAUUUGGUAACAUGAUCCCCAAAUUAAUCUGCAAAAUCACUGCAUGGCUAAUUACUAAAGGAUCAAUCCACAAUGAUGAACUCCAGUACACACAAAUGAUUCUGAUGAUUCCUUAAUUUAUUGAAGAAUAGACAAGUCAUUAUGGCACCUGGCUUUGGGACUCAAUAUAAGGAGCGGUUCAGGUUAAAGCCUGAGCCGAACAUUAGCAAGAUGUAUGCUGCCUACAAUAACAUUACAAAGUUAUAAUACACCGUUUUUCAAAAAAAUAUAUUACAAUUUAUCAAAAUUUUCAUUAAUCAUAUAAGACAUCCCAGCCCCGUGGGCUAGUUGGGCCGGGCCAGAUUCGUGUUAUUGUAACAUGCGGCUACUAUAGUGACGAAAACCAUUGUGGCAUCGGGAGAUAGUCCCAAACCGGAAACGGAGAGGGAGUUGAACCAGCUUAAAUAGCUGGCCUGAGGAAGCUAGUAACUCCGGUUGCAAUUUUUUACAUAAAGUGAGGAUGAAAGUACAAAAGGGUUAAUUAGCAGGUGUGGCCCAUUCGACGUGUAUUGUGAAUCUUUGCUGUUUUUCUAAGCUAGGUUGUUACAUCAUCUGACCACCUUAAUUAGCUUUUGACGGAAACAAAAUCCAAUCUGUCCUUGUUUUGUUCAGAUUCUAGACAGCAGAUCAAACUUCCACAUUCUGAACCUUUUAGAGCACCAUUGACCAUCAUUAUUUCCUUUUUUUCUCAUGCUUGACCAAGUGUAAUUACGUCCCAGUGAACCCCUCUUUCAGAGUCUCUAGCCUUAAUAUACUAUUCUGGUAAUGCAGGCAACACCAGAAAGGGUUCAAAGGUGGAUAUCAGCCCAAGCAGCUGCACCAAAUUCAGCACCACAAACACCACCUGAUCACCUGCAAAUUCAACAAUCCAAAUUGGAUAAGCAUCAUAUACAUGUUCCUGUUCUCUACCAUCACAAGGAAAUAUCCCACAUAACGAAACCAUGCUUUUUGUAUACUAGUUUAUUACCAUAGGAAAAAAAAUGAAACCUUAUGCAAGGUAUAGUAGGAAAUUGAUAGUUUACCUGGCAGGAAAGUAGCAUCUUGACGUUUUUGUGCCCAUGAAAAUCUGUGUUGAUGAAUGUGAAUUCAGAGUUUAGGAUACACAGACAGAAUAAUAAUGAUCCACCUUUUUUACUUUCUAUACUUUGUUUUAACGCACUCUUUGGACAUAAGGUGAUAGAGAAAUUUUAAGUUCUAUGUUUACGAGAGGCUUGUGAAAAUUUUAGGAGCAUAUUCUAUACCACUACCCCGUCCCAAAUUAUAGGUCGUUUUGACUUUAUUAGAUUUAUAGACUUUGUUAUGCACUUAGAUAUACCCUAUGUCUAGAUGCAUAAAUCUAUGCAUCUAGAAAAGUCAAAACGACCUAUAAUUUGGAACGGAGGGAGUAUAUAUUAAGGAGAGAUGGAAAUUGAUACUUACAGAGCCCCUGCCCCUACUGGAGCAACUGACUUGAAAAAUGACAUUACAGUUGUCGAUAUACCAUUUGCCGUGCCUCUUUGUUCUUGGAACUAGAAUUGAAUUUUAAAUAUAUUAGAUAGUUUUAUUUGAUUUGUGUAAGCAUACUAUCCCAUCAAAUUCACUUGAGUUCAUACAUACCACGGCAUUAUUCUGUAGAAGGCAAAUUCCUGUUGUUACAGUAAUCUGUAUAGGUUGCAAAAGAAGAUUAUGUAGACUUGAAUACCAUUAAAAUUAUUAAAAACUACUAUUUAUUCGCCACUAUGUCUUCCAUAGAAAAGGAGUUAUUAGCUUACAAAUGGUGCGGCGAGUUAUGAAGUAAUUUGAACUGUGAAGAAAGAAAGAACAAUGCUUACUGCAAGAGCACUUUUCAUCAUGGCUGCAGAAUAGAGGGCGAAAGAAAGUUUCACUCCAGAUAGGUAUGUCAUAAAGGGAUACGUUGCAAGAACAACUAUAAACACAGCCUGCAAUGUCAUGUUGAAAUUUUAAGUGAUGAUCAUGAGAUAUGUAUUUUUAUGUUUAUCUUUUGAAGAAACAGUAGGAGGCAACUCACAGAAGCAACACGUGAUGAGUUGACUGUUCCACGCACUUUAUGAACCCAGCGAUAAAUGAUAAGCUGGUAUACUAGAAGACUAGCACCUAUUAUAAAGAAAAUGAAAGGAGAAAAUCCAUAUCAGUGUCUAUACAUUCACACAGAACGCUGCAAACAUCUUUAGCUGGGAGGGAUGGCAAUGUAAGCGGAGGGCAGAGGGAUGUGAUACCUGCCAUAGCAAGAACUUCACCAAUGUCUUUAGUUGAGAAGCUGAGGCCACCAUACUUCCGAUCGCUCACAGCCCAUAAGGAUAGUAUCUAGUAUUGAAAGAUGCACAUCAGUGGUGGUCGGACAUCUUUGUUCAGAGCUAUGCGCGAAAGGUGAAAUUGAGUAGUUAAAGCAGUAGUGCAGUACUAUAAUAGAGGUUUUUACUCAUGAGGAAUGUGUUGAAUAUCAUUUAUAUGGGCUUACUAAGUAUCAUCCAAAAUAUAAAAUACCCCACUGAGUACUAACAGGCUAAAUAGGACAUGAAUUCUUAGAGAAUAUGAUUUAUUUUUACCUCACUAUAUGCUGUGUCAUGAAGGCUAAACAAACAGUAAGGUAGCAUAGUUGAUACCCAAGGCUUGUUCUGAAGCAAACUCUUCCUGCGAGGUGAAUCCCGAUAAUUGUCUUUUGGUGGCAAUGCUUUGACUAUUUUGGUAUCCUUUUCAGGAACUUUAUGUUUGUGUAUAGUCUCCUGUAGUAAAGUCACGUUAAUAAUAAGACUAGAUAAUAUUUGCAGUAAUAGAGUGACAAUAUGCCUCAAAUGAAGUUAAGUAAAUACUACUAUAGUAUAGCGUAGAAUACAUAGCAAGCAUAUUUUCUACAAAAAUGACCACACUACACUCCAGUAGUGUAUUUAUUAAUUGCAUCUUGGGCAGCACAUGCUGCAAGUUAUGUUUAUUGGAGAAUUUAUGGAAUACAAGAUUUGAUUUUAUCAAGCAGAAGCAAAAAUAAUGACAAAAAUUAGUGUCAAUAUUUUCUAUAGGCAACUAAAACGAUGAGAGAUUUUUUUAGUUGAAAUGUUACGUACCGGAAGCCAUGUACAGCUUAUUAGGACAAUUGUAGCAAAUGACGAUACACUUAGACAGGGUAAGAGGUAAGGAAAUCUGCAAAAUCCAAUUAAUUGAGCUAUGAUAAUAUGCAAAUGUACACCACUAAUUUCUAGCAAUUUGUAAUGGACUAUAGUUGCGCCUGGAUAAUUUACCCGGCAAAAAUUGAAUCUUUGGAAAAUAUGUGAGGAUAUUUUUCAGUAGGCUGUGAAAGAAAAAAGAGACUGGAGUAAGAAAAUAAGAUACUUUUUCUCUCCUUUUCUUUUUUGAACUGGUACCUGUGCAAGGAAGCCUCCAAGAGCUGGACCAACAAUAAGACCCAAAGCCCAUGCCGUGUUCACCUAUGAUUAAAGUACAUUCAGUUAGACUAAUCUUCGCAAUGAAAGGGUUACGUAUAAAAUACGCAGAGCUUGAUUCAUGAGAUUACAAGUGAGAGUCCAAGUGCCUGAUGUUCAGUUCGACAAACUUCAAUGCAAUAUGCCUACAAAGGUUGAUGAAUGUAACUUCUAAUUUAGCAUACUCUUUUUGAAACACAUAAGUUAUAGUCUACGGAUUUAUUGAAACUAGUAAUUUAGAAGUACCUUUAUUGGGGCAAGUAGGCCAUUUAGAGCACCCAGCACAAAUCUUGUAGCAAUUGCCAUCCAAUAUGUUGUACUUAGACCAAACAGUGUGUUAAAUAUGACCCUGUAUAGUGCAUGCAUGUGGGAAAAUGAAUUGAGUACUAAACAAAUAUUAAAAUCUAAAUGAGCUAACAAUGAAAUAUAAUUUCUGUAAUACAUACACAGACAAGAUUGAAAAUGCGAUGACAGGCUUCCGUCCAAUACGAUCAGAGAGAAUGCCCCAAAAAAUUGCAGCAAUGGCUCUGCCCACCAUGUAUGAUGCAGCUGCAAUUAGAAAAUGCAUUCCCAUAAGUAUUUUACAUUUAAAUUUUGAGCUUUGUGUGAUAUUAGUACUCCAACUUUAAUAAUAUCUAACUUAAAAAUCGAUGGUGAGACAGAAACUAUACCUAGAAAACCAGCAUAAAAACCAAUAUCUUCCUCUGUUUUAGAAAUGUGGAAGUCCCUUACCUAUGAAAAGCAGGAAGAAAGAUAUUACUAAAUAAGCAUAAGGUAUACAAUCGAGAAUAAUCUGAUUAUGUUAAUGAUAACAUUAGGCUGAGUCACAUCAGACCGAGGAAACUACUUGGGUGUGGAAAUAUCCUCACAACAAAAUGCAGAUGUGUACCUCCCAAGUCUAAAUUAUUGGAAGUUUGGAACUCAUUCGGUUUAGAGGUAUACAAAACAAAAGAAAUCUUUUGACAUCUAUGAGCAGCAGAUUGCUACAAGUACAAACUUAAACUACUUCCAAAGGCUCCUACAAUAAACUGAAACUACAAUUCAAAAACAAAAAUGAAACUGAAGUCAUCACAACCCAUUACUUGCAGUGUUCCUAUCUUUGGUCAUCUCGGCACAGCGUGAGUAUAUAAAACGGAGAACAUGGGUACAUAAGCCACUGAUUGCGCUGCAUGCUGCUGUAGGAUCGUAGCCACCGAUUGAGUAAUUAAGGUCAUAAAGAAUGUCACCGUCCUCAAGAUUAAUACAAAGUGAUAUACAAGUAGAUGACUGACUAGAUAACAUGACAGUACAUACCAUGAAAUAGAUGAAUGGGAAGAGGCACGUGAUUGGUAAAGCUGAAAAAAACACAAGGGAAAAAAAGUUACAUUAUCGUUAAUAUUUUGUCUGAACCAGAUCUCAGCUUGCAAAUUAUUGAAAACAUUGAUCGAGUAAUUAAAACAGUUAGUAAAGCGCGCACAGCUAAGGCGUUAGAUGGAUGCAAAUGAGAAAGGAACAAGGUGGCAGGUAGCUAGACAUAGUAGCCAGACACAUAAGAGAGCAAAGCUGCUGCAGACGCAACUGCUCCCUAUGUUUGUUAGUUUCAACUUGAAUUUCUGACUUCAAUUUGGAAGCUCCAUCAUCAGUCGUCUUAUAUACUAGCAGUUACACAAAAAGGGGAGACUAAACAGCCGUAUUAGUACCGAUCCAAUCGGGACUGGCACAGAAUAUUAAGUUCUGUUGAUAGCUUGGUCUUAGCCAGCAUCCUACAUGCAUGAACAUAAUGCUGGAUCUCAGAUGGCAUUGCCAUAAAAAGAUAACUUUUCGGACGAUUUUUAAAUAUCGAGUUGCAGCCUUUUAAGAGCAAUGGUGGGCUGUCUUCUGCUUUUCGUUGUGAUCAGCUAGACGAAGUUAUGCUACCUAGAGGAGGCAGAUCAAGAUUCAGGCAUGCACCUUCCUACAACAGCAACAACUACCAAAUAUUUACAUGCAUGCACGUCCAAUUUUCUAUCACGGGUGGGGCCAGCAACAUGCUCUGUCCUGUUUGGUCCAGGCAGAAUGUCUCCGGCGACGCUCAUCACCGGCGGCCGGCGAGCCGGCAGCGGUGGCGGACACUACUUAGAGCAUAAUGCAAGCAUUCCCUGACGACCGAACUAGGCAAGAAUCAAAAUUGGCACAGUGCAGGCUCGAGUUCGAUGUAGUACACCGGAUGCGUGCAUGUCCAACAGAGUAGCUAGCAAAACCCAAGAUGACUGAACCCAGUUGCCGCGCGCAAGGCAUUGUCUAGAGCCUAAUGUAGAGCAACAGUAAUCGAAAUACGUACAUGAGGCGAGGGAGGUGACGCCGACGAAGAAGAGCUCCUUGUAGGGGAUCCUCCCUUUGCUGCUCGCCUUCCGCCGCUCCAUCACGCAGCCGGGGCAACCCUCCACCGCCGGCGCCGGCAGCAGCAGCGGCGCUUCCUCGGAGCCCAUCUCGACAAGACAAUUUGCUUCGGUCACCUAGCUACCUAGCUAUCUGCAAUGCAAAGCCACUAUCACACUGGCACAGCAUGCAACUGCUCAAGCUCCCUGCUCCUCUAUAUAUCCAUCCACAACACGGGUGGGCGCGGCAAUGCUGCUGCCUGCAGAGAACGUGCUCCACGAGCAAUAACAGUUUACCCCCACCUGGAACACAAAGAUAGCUACACAACAUCCAAUUUUUCUGACAAAAAUGUUCUCCACAACUUCGCUUCCACAGUUUUAGUAUGUGCUCUCUGGCUGGUCUCUAUUUACAGAAAAAUACAUGUCCGAUUAAGGAUGCCAUGUUUUUUACACGACGCGAAGGAUGGGCCAGUCAGCAGAACAAAUAGAAUCUUGAACAAGCAGAGCAAAUAGAACCAAACCAGAUAAACCAUCAGGGUAGAAUUGUCUACUAAUUUCAUUUCCAACAAAUAAUUCGGAGUUGUUGUACCUUACGUUAUUGCUACUUACAGUGUAGCAACUCGGCACAAAUGCCUGUCUAAUCAAAAGCAAGCAAUCGAUUGGCCGCCAUUUACCAAUUAUGCAUUUCCUCUACUAAAAUGCUGCAGUUACAUAAUAGCACUUACAGUUACACGCAAAAAUCUCCAUUUUCCUCUUUCAGGUUCCUCCUGGUGGAAGGGCAUUAUGCCCUUUACCUCACGGGUGCGUGACUUUUCCAUUUUCCUCUCUCAGGUUCCACCUGGUGGAAGGGCAUUAUGCCCUUUACCUCAUGGGUGCAGGACUCUAUUUGAAUAUUCCUAAACUUCCACAAAUUGAGUUUUUAAUUUCUAUUAUAUUGCUCUGGCACAGCCAAAAAGGGUUUGAAUGUGAGAAUAAGUCCGAGUAACUCAAUCACAUUCAGAAGAAAGAACACCAUCUGAUCACCUGUGCAGGUAGAAUUAGAAAAAUUAUGUGCACCGCCAAAAAGAAAAAAAAAGGUAUCUGGAAUGUCCUAAAAAGGAACCUAAAUUUACCUGGAAAGAAGAAACCAUGCUGCCGUUUCUGUGCCCACGAGAACCUGAAUAAAUACACCCAAAAUGAAUCAGCAACAGUACAUGCUUCACGUGGAGCAGAUACAUUCUCAAUCAAAUUUACAAAGCAGUAGGGCACUAGUAGAUCAAAUCUACAGGAUAUCUAAGCCUUGCUACUUUUGAAACAUAAAUUUAGCAGCAGGUGUAGUAGUCAAAUUCAAAAUACACCUCAGCCUUCCUAUUUUUAAGCUUCAAGCACAUUUCAUUUAACUAUAGGCAACGAUCUGUAUUGACAGUUUAUUUCAACUUGGAACUCAACAAAUUUCUUUAAAGAAGCUACAGAAACAAAUUGUACUCACACAAUACCAGCUCCUGCUGGAGCAACUGCCUUGAAAAACGACAUUCCUGUCAUGGACAAUCCAUUUGCAGCUCCUCUUUGGUCCUGAGGCUGUUAACAAGUAUUGGCAUCAGUCAGUUGCAGAUUAGGAGCAGAACUUUAACAAUAAAAAUUGAGCUGAACACAUGUGUGCAUACCACAGCAUUAUUUUGAAGGAUGAAAGUGCCCGUAAUGAUGGUAACCUGAUAUAGUAUGCCGUAAACUUUAAUUAUAACAGAAAAUAAAUAAUACAUAAAAUCUAAAUAUUCAAUAGAAAAAGGGCGUAGACCGCUAAGUGGUGGGUAACGAUGCAAGAUUCAUAUGCUUAAUAUUUUUCAACCAUCACCAGGAACUAAAGUUUUUUCUUUUCUUUUUUUUUCUAUUUUCUGAGCAGAGUAACUGCAUACUUUGUAAAUGUAUCAAAACUGCCAUAUACACAGUUAUUUGGUUCUAAAAGAUCAAAUAACAUGACUCACAAUGGGAUGCAAAAGAUACUCACAGCAAGAUUAUUUUUUAUCACUGAUGCAACAUUGAGAACGAUUGAUAAUCCAGGUUCUGACAGGUAUGUCAUAUAGGGGUAGGCAAAGAGGAUAGGUAUGCACAGGAUCUGCAAGAUUGAGCAAAAUAGUUCAGAUAAGCAGCCAGAAGAGGAGAGAGACUGCAUCAACUAUAAGUAGCAUAAGCUUUUACUCACAGCUGCAAUCCGAGAAGAAUUGAUAGGCCCAAGAACUUUAUUGAUACGAGGGUACAGGAACAGUUGAUAUACAAGAAGACUGGCACCUGUAAUGGAAGAGGUAAAAUAAUGUAAAUGGCAUUAUCACAAAUACUAAAAGUUGGUUGCAAAUACCAGCAGAGGACAAAAUUUGCAGAUUUAGUACAGCUUCAGGGGAAUGAUCGAGAAAUCAUUUUUUCCACAUACGUGUGAAAGGUUUAUAAUUGGGUACAUACAGUUAUCUAAUUAAUAUUCUGUAGUACAAAAACCACUUUAGACUAUAAUGGAGUUUUUAAAAAUUAUAAACACUAACAAUAAUAAGAAAUUCACCUGUAACUGCAAGCACUUGACCUACAUCCUCGGACGAUAAGCUGAGUCCACCAUACUUCUUGUCACUUUCAGCCCAUAGAGAGAACACCUGGAAUUAGUUUUUGUUAGGGCUCUAAUACAUGCUGAAGUGUCUUCUAGACUAUCCAGGGGGAAAAAACUAGGUCCUCAAGGCAAUAGCAAGACACAUCAUACAUAAUUUCAGAUCAUUUUCAAAUAAACAUGGAAAUACAAAGUUAUAUGUUGGUACAAAUUCAUAUAUGUAACCAAGGAUAAACAAUUGAUAUUCACAGCAAUAAAAACCACCCUUAGACUGACAGGGAUAGAUUGCUUGAAAACAUCCACUAUAUUUUAAUAGCUAACUAACCUACAUCAAUUUACAGAUCAUGUAACAAUAAAAGUCGUGUUCCAAAACAACUAUGCCACUUUUCUCCAUAUAUUUUGAAAUCUCCAGUUUCUGGCAGCUUUAUUGGGUGCCAACUUUUUUUCUGACUUAAAUUUUAAUCCCAGAAUGAAUACACCAUAUUGAACAUUAUUAGGACACCAAGACCAAGUUCUUCAAAUCUCUAACAGAGCAGUACUAGGUAUGUUCAUAGCAUGCAUAGAUUCUUCCUAGCUUUUCAAAUCAUAAAUAAAUAUCCCACAAGUGGUAAUAAACAAGUACCUCUGUGUAAGCCAUGUCAUGGAAGGAGAAGAUGCAAUAGAUAACUAUUGAUGACAUCAAUGGCCAAUUCUUGAAUAAGCUCUUCUUGGUAUUCAAACUUCCACUUUCUUCAACCUUUUCUUUUGGAUCAAUCAGAUGAGCCUCCAAAGCUUCAAUGCUCUGGUUUUCAUUUUCACUACCUUUAUGCUUGUGCAAAGUCUCCUAUAAAACAUUUUGAGAUGCUUUAUGGUGGGUACAGAGGAAUCAAAAUUAAGUACAAAAUAUUGGUGGAUGCCAAAUGAAUUCAAAGCGAUUUCACAUACCGGCAUCCAUAUGCAGCUUAUGAGAACAGCAGCAGCAAAGACUGACGUGCAUAAGCAUGGUAAGAAAUACGGGAACCUGACAAGUUUCCACAGAAAGUAAGUACUCUGUAAAUUGAUUAUUUGGGACUAUCUUCUUCUGCUAUGAAAAAAAGAAAUACCUUCCAAAGAGUGAUUCAGGUGAAAAGACAUUUGGAAAAUUUUCUGCAGGCUGUCAUAAGGAAGCCAGGUUAGCGCUGACAGUUAGAUAUGCUUUAAUAUUGUAAAAUUGCCUCUGCUGUACCAGUGCAAGGUAGCCUCCUAGAGCAGGACCAAUGAUGAGACCUAUUCCCCAUGCUGUGCUGACCUAAAUUACGUGAAAGUGAAUUCAAGUAUGAAAAUCAUUAGAAUAUAUAAGAAAUAUUAGUAACACAUCAAUGUGAAUCUUGUAUCUUACAAGUGAUAAUGCUAGAGCUUCAUGUUCUGGUCGGCAAACUUCAAUGGCAUAAGCCUGUAACAUUCAAGCAAGAUGUUAUUAACUACAGCGCAUUCUAACAUUUAAAAGCUUGCAAAUUCACAAUACCUUAAUUGGUCCAAGUAGACCAUUUAAAGCACCAAGCAAAAAUCGUGUAGCAAUUGCCAUCCAAUAGGUGACACUAAGCCCAAACAAAGUAUUGAACACAACCCUGAGAAAUUUUAAAAGAACUAAGUUAAGAGUCUCAUUUCCACGCUCAAUCAACAUUCUUCCAUAUAAAUGGAGGCAAAAUGUUACUAACACGGAGAAAAUGCCGAAUAUAACAACUGGUUUUCUCCCAAUACGGUCUGCCGCUAUUCCCCAAGCUGUUGAAGUCAAGCAUCUACCAAACAUAAAUGAAGCACCUGAAAGCAUCCAUGGUAUGUAACUGAUCAGUCACAAAAAAAUCACCAUUUAUAAAUAUUGAACUAAGCCAAGCUGAAUAUGAGGGAGAAAUUCAUCAAAACUAACCUACGAAACCAGCAUAGAAGCCGAUAUCUUCUGUUCUUUUAGCAACAUUCAAGUCUCUUAUCUGUACAGUAAGAGACAACAUGAACCCUCUUUAGGUAAAGGUACUUACUAGAUGCAUGUGUGCACAGGUAUAGACAAAAAAAAGGUCCUUAGGCAGAUCAAGGUAUCCAAAAAACAUAAUUGAUGUACUACCAACUUAUUUGUCAUAUACUGCAAAGCCCUGAAUAACCAGAAAAAGAUUACCAAAUUGUGUACAUACCAUAAAAUACAAGAAGGGGAACAGCGAUGAUAUUGGUAAAGCUGAAAAAAGAAAGAAGAAAAAUUAGAAACAGUAAAUAUGCAAUGGACGGUAUUUAUGGAAAUAAAGAAAAGACACGAGAAGUGAAGCAAGAUUAGCAACAUUGGGAAACAAAUGCCAGUAAUGUUCUGUAGGUCCAGAAGUGCGGACGCGGACAUUUAUCAAGUUAGUUCAGUAAUAGUGAGAGUGACUAAGAAACUGCUGAAUAAGACCUGAGAGAAGUGCUCAUGCACUCGGAGAAAUCAACCUUAAAUAAAGACAGCAUAUGAUUGCGCAUGAUUAAAGAUUGUGACAUGAUGAACAGUAUAAGUACAGAGUUUUAACUGUUAAGUCCUAAAUGCCACCUAAUUUAAGUGGUCCUGCAACUUGUCACAAAUUAAUAUUCCAUCGGAAGUUGCGUGGUAUCUCUGUCAGUACAUCUUCAAAAUGUGAGGAGGUGAUAUAGCAGAGGUAGGGAGACACUGCAACAACUGCAAACAACCCAUAAUUACAGGACAAAAAAAUUGGUAGCACCUGCAGCCUCACAGCAGGAAAUUUUUGUAAAAUUUCUGCAAUGAGUCAAUGACACAGUAGCAAAGAAUUGCUGCAGCAAACUCAUGUAGUUGCAGUACAUUUCUCUGUCUUGGCAAUGGCAACCACAAGCACUAGUUAUGACCUGCUAGCUAUUGUAACAUGUCAUUGUCAAGAGAGAAGUCAUCCGGAAGGACCCGAAAAGAGGGUGUGCUAUGGAAGAGGAGUCCGUACCGGCCGUGAGAGAAAUCAUCCAGACAUAGAGGAACUCCUUGUACGGCAUCCCCCUGAGGAGGUCCUUCCUCCGGUCGUAAGCGCAGCCUGGGCACCCCGGGUGGUACUCCUCCUUGACCCUGAGCAACGGCGAAGUGGCUUCCUCCCCCAUUGUCGGCAACCAGCGAAUUCCUUGCUGACCCGGCUCCCUCAAUGCUUGCUCAGAACAGCACCAGAGAUGGGAGCAGGGAGCGCGCAAUUAAUGGCGCCUCUGCUCUCGGCCAGAAGAAGCGAAUCAAGGAAGGCAAAGGCCAAUCCUUCCAGCGCUGGCAGGUGGCCACCGAAGUCGCCAAAGAUGUGUCCUUUCGCCCUGCCGUGCCCAAUGCUGGGGGCAAUUAGUAUUGCCCAAUGCGAGAGCCGUUCGUCUAUGGCGGCGUUCCCAUCUUGGGGAAUUGAAGGGGAGGACGAGGAAGACGAAGCCAACACUAGUUGCACCUCGUCCGGCUCACAUUGGACGUGGCGCCAAACGGAACUGCUUCCAAUCCAAUCCAACCACGCGUUGCAGGGCAUUGGCAUCGCUUCACGGGCGCCGGAACCCCAAAAAAAAAAAACAGAGAGAGAGAGAGAGAGAGAGAGAGAGAGAGAGAGAGAGAGACGAAUGGAUGGCUGCCCUGCCCCCUCUCCUCUGCCUGGAUGGGAACGGAGGAAGGAUUGCGUAAUUGCGUCGCAGAAGAAGAGGAAGAUUCGCGGAGGUUCCUAUUGUGUGGAUAGAAUGGGCCUCAGCAGGCCUAUUAUUUAACUGCUGGUAUAUGGGCUGGGCCAAGAGAAGUAGGAGUCGGGCCUAUGCUCAUUUUUCUAUUUCCCCAUGGAUGGAUGGCUGCUUAAUCAUCAUCAUCAUUUAUGCCUCCUGUGCCUAUUUUAUUUGAUCAGUACACGCCUCUCUGUAUUUCGUCUUGACGAAAACGUAAUUUCGCAGCGCUGAAGGCUUUUACACAAAUGGCUGAUCGCUAAAGUGAUGCAGUGAUGGCAACAGCAGCUACGGUGUUGGAGUUGGCAACUCUCGUCAUGAUCAUAGCAAAAGAAAAGGAAAAAAAAACACAAAAGAACUAGCCACAAGAAAAGGAAAAAAAAACGCAAAAGCAUUUACUAGCAAGCAGGGGGAUCCGAUAUGGUCGAGGCCGGAGACACAGACACAGAGGUAUGGAGCAGCCAGUACGUACCUGUGCAGAGGGUGACGAUCCAGACAUAGAUGAAGCUCCCGUAGGGGAUGCCCGGGUUGGCCGCCUUGCGACGGUCCACGGCGCACCCGGGGCACCCUUCCACGUACAUCCUGCCGCCGGCGGUCUUCGUCUCCAGCAACGGCGACGACUGCCCCUCGUCCUCCAUUGUUUGGCUCCUGGAGAUGGAUGCCGAUCGAUAUUCGAUGUGCUCCCUAGCUUCUCUCCUCCCUCCGGAUCCUCUCUGUCUCUUGUACUAGUGGCGAUAGAUCGAUGGGAUGCCCGACCCCCAGCAAUGAUUCCCUCAGAGGAACGAAUGGCUGAGAUGGGCGGGUACAGUGUCUGACCUCUGCACAUGCAUUUCCUUUUUUUUUUCUGGGCCGGAUGGAAACGAAAGAGAUCGAUGGACAGCAGAACUGAAGGGGCGCGUGCUUUUAAUUUGGUGGCUUCCGUUCCGCGGUGGUCAAGCAGCUAGCUACUCCGAAUGGAAGUGCCUACGCUGAUUCGAUCCGAGCUAGAAAGCCAAAUCGAAUUGCCUAUUGCUACUAGCCAAUCCAAUCGAUCGGCCAGUAUAUAUGCUGGCCUGGCAUCAGCACAUGCGUCAGAGAGUGCCACUGCACACCUCAGCAGCCAGUUUGUCGCGAGCUACUCCAUCCGUCCCAGAUUACUGUGUAGCUUUUUGUUACGUAAUUAGAUACAUGCCGUGUUUAGAAAAGUUACGACGAAUAGUAAUUUGGAAUGGAGGGAGUACUACGUGUAUGGUCACCAUAGAUCCUCUCCUAAUAUUCGUUGCUCCCUCUGUUCCAAAAUGUAGAUUGUUUUAGUUUUUCUGAUCUCAUAGAUUUUGAUAUGUAUCUAGGUGGUAUAUCUAGAUACAUGGCAAUAUCUAUAAAUCUAGAAAAGUUAAAAUGAUCUAUAAUUUGGAAUGGAGGAAGUAUUAUAGCUGCUUCCUCAUCGAUAAUUGAUCGAGUCCGCGGAAAAAAAGUUAAAAAAAAGGACUUGCAUGCCUCCUGACCGUGAAUUAAUUAACUUCUCCACAUGGUUAUUUGUUUUGAGCAGUCCGUGAACUAGUAGUCAUAUCAAUAGCAAAGGGCCAAGCUCGCCCCUGACCAAACAUUGACGUCCACGCCGAUUUGAUUUGAUUCACGAAAUAAAAGUGACAGUGAUAGAUGUCUUUGACGUCUUCUUCAUGUAACAUACUCAUUCAGAUGUCACUCACUUUGUGUUGAAGGUGAUGAAGCUAAUAAGCUUGCAUUAGUUGGCACUUGGUUACAUCAAAUGCCCAAAUCCAAGUAUAUUUCCAUCCUAGGUUAAUGAUAUUCAUGUGAUUUCUUUAACUUGGUAUUGCACAUUUGAUCUAGUAAAUGUCCUCCUGUUUAAUUGUCGUCUAUUCUCUAGCUUUUGCAAGUCGGAUACUCAUUUAUUAUAUAUAGCCACACUGCCACACAACAUCAUUAACUACACGCAAAGUGAUUCCUUAACUAGUAGAAAAUCAUUGCAAUAUUUUUCAUAUACUAGAUUUACAUCUUAGAGAUACACAGCAUGUACAAAAGAACAUUCAAAGCUGAUAGAACCCCAAAACGAAGUUGUUCUAGCAAAACUGUUGAUAGUAUAUAGAAAUGGCACCUUUAGAUGGUGUAAAAAUGACACCUUUAGAAAAUUUUAGCAAUGGCGUAUCAUGGUAAAAAUAACACACAACUUGUCUACGCCAUUAGCCAGAAGGGUUAGCUCGAAGAAGAUUGCUUUGGCACAUCUAGAAAUGGCUUGAAUGUCCAAAUAAGUUCAAAAAGUACGACAAUGUCCAGAAGGAAGAACACCAUUUGAUCACCUGCAUACCAAACCAAGUAAUGCAUUGAAACGAUCAAACAAAUACAAAAGCUAACAAUUGAUGGUUUUCAUCAUAGUUCCAUAUUAUGGCAAGUUAUUGAGAGCUAUAUAUCCACUAAUUGUAGUAUCCCUGGAUGGGUGUGAACAACAUUAGCUACGAAGUCUGGGGAAAAAUACUUCUUGUUGUCGGAUGCAUUGAUGUGAAGGUAAUAGAUGCCACAAGUGUUAGUUGCUUAACACAUCAACCUUUUUUUUUUGCUAUCCGUGUGGUAGAGAAACACAACCAAAAUGGCCAUGUUCCCAAUAGAAAAGGUUAACAAACAAUUCCCUAUGCCCACUCACACGACCCCACCGAAGAAGCUAAGUCCAGCCGAAGUGAACUGGUGAUGCCAAAAUGAAAGCAUGCAUGACUUCGCAGAACUCACACAUCAACCUUUGCUAGUAAGCAUCAACCUUUACGCCCAUUGUCUCUAACCUACAUCAUGGUUUCGCAAAACAUUGAGCAAAGGGUAUGUGCCACCUAGAAAUUUUUUGUUUUCAAAAUUCUAGUUCAUUUUUUUCUCAAAGUGCAAUCUAAAAUAUAGUAUUUAACAAUUUAUUUUAGAAUAGAAUCUAACAUAUUUACCUGGAAAUAUCAAAGCAUGUUGGUGCUUUUGUGCCCAUGAAAAUCUGCAUUAACAUGUUAAGAUGAUAUAUCAUCAGAAUCAUUAGCAUUUAUCAAUUCAACCAUUGUUGAAAUGAAUUAAGAAACACUCAAAGCUAACAUCCUAUAUUUAUGGGGUAACAAAAAUGUUGUCUCUAGCACGUGUGUAUCACAUGCUAUAGCAAAUUAUAAUAAACAUAUGAUAUAUGAUUCUACAUAAACCUACUCAAUUAAUAUAUUUCUUCUAUAACUACGGAGACUAAUAUUCCAUUAUUAUUUUACUUUAGAACACUAAAUACUCAUGAUUUAAAAGUGCUAUAGGAUAAGUAAUGUACACUAUUCCUAGUUACUCCUAAACAAAUUGAAGAAACCAGCUGUAAAUCAAAUAUAAUCUAUAAUACACAUAUAUUAUUUUAUGGAACUCAUACCAUCAUUUUUUUUAUCCCAUUUGCAUUGCAAUUCAAGGCAAAGUUGGAUUUAUAUAAACUAUUUGUUAAAACAAAGUGGCUCUUGAAAGGAAUAUAUAACAAGAUGGUAUUUCCAAAAUAUUAAAGUGUUUAUAAGCAAAUUCUAGUGACCAAAUUUGUACUUACACAACACCAGCUCCAGCUGGAGCAAAUGCCUUAAAAAGGGACAUCAAUGUAGUUGCUAUGCCAUUUGCAGUUGCUCUUUGAUCUUGAGGCUGUUAAUUACACAAAAUCAUCUAUUUUUUGUAUAGGAAGAUUGAUUCGAUUGAAAUAGAGUGUAAAUGUACAUACCACAGAAUUAUUCUGAAGAAUGAAGGAGCAUGUUACAACGGUAGCCUAAUAUGUAUGAAAAAAAUGGACAAUAUUAUUAUGAUAUGGACAGGAACAUAUUAAUUAACAUAUAACCCCAAUUAUACUUGUAUUGUGAGGAACAUAACAUGUGGGCCUCUUAAACAAGUGUUCCUAUCAAUUUCUAGAAAAGAGACAUAAUUAGAUGUUUGUGGUUAGUGCGUAGCAUACAAAAUAUUUUUAAAAUAAGUCAUUUAUUUUGGAGAAAUUGUAAGCUUGUAGUAUACACAUUUAGUUUGUUUUCCUAAUUCCUACCAAUAAGUGUUGCUUUUAUUGUUUUCCUAAUUCCUACCAAUAAGUGUUUCAAAAGCAUGCACACAUAUAACUUCAAGUUUCAAGGGUACUCACAACCGAACAACUUUUAAGCACCGAUGCAAUAUUUACAACAAUGGAUAUCCAUGGUCUUGACAAGUUCGCCAUAGGUGGAUAGGUGAAAAGAAGCACCAUGGAUAGAAUCUACAAUAUUAAUUGGUCAUUAUAUUUUAAAGAUUAAAGUAUUUAAACUAGCAAUAAAAUGUGACAAUAACUUGUAUACUCACAAUUGCAAUACGAGAAGAAUUGAUUAGUCCGAGAACUUUUACAAUAUAGGGAUAAAUAAAUGUUUGGUAUAGAAGGAUGCUAGCACCUACAACACAUAAAGAAGUAAGUUCAUUUUAUAAUAGGAAUAAGAAAAAAUGAGGUUAAAGCAAGGUUUCCAAUAAAGGUGGUUGCUAAUAACUAGAGGCAAUGUACAUUUUUCAUAGCAAGUUCAUGAAUUUAUUCCAUCCUAAACAAUACAUUUGGGAAGAUCAUGAAUUCAACGUGUUUAGCUAACAUAAUGCAUAUAUAAAAGGAGCUUACUAGGCGUCCGCUACCUCUCUCUAUCAAAGAAAAUCUCUAGCGAGAUGCUAUAUGCUAGAGCACAAAACAUGAAUAUGAAGCCAAUUUUAGCCCUUUUUUUAGUCAUAGAUGAUUGGAAUAGGAACAAAGUUGAUAGGUUCAUUUCUUGGACUCGAAAGUUGGUACCUGUCACCAAAAGUACAUUACCAACAUCUUCAGAUGAGAAACUUAGUCCACCAUACUUUUUGUCACUCUCAGACCAUAAAGAAAAUAUCUGAUUUGUCAUUUGAGAUAUCAAGGGUUAACUCAAAUAUAGAAGGUAAUACUUUGAACAAAAAGGUAAACUAAGUGAUCAUAUAAAUUACAAAUAGUUGGAUUUUUUCAUAAUUUAUUUUUCACCACACAUUCAAAGAAAACAUCUGAGUGAAAUGAUAAAAUGCAACCACGCUAAGCAAAAAUAUUGAAUUGUAUCAAUAGAAAAAUAUGGAGACUCAAGUUCGCUGGUAAAGUUAUAUUCCAUUGACUUAAUCACAUAAAUAACAAUGAUUGAUGAUAGUUCAAAAAAAUAAGAACCAUAAAUAAUGGACAUAUUUUUUUGCACUUAACUUAAUACUAUAGGGAUUUUUUUCAAAUUUAAUUUUUUUACAUAGCCCAAGUACAUGUUGAUUUAGUUGGAAAAAUUAAAAUUAAAGAUUUCUUGGUAGGAUGUAGUAUCCAACAUGCAACUGAAAUUUGGUAGCUAUGAGUAUAACGUAUUUCUUGGUUAUUCUAGAUUUAUUGAAACAAUCUCAACUUGUAUGAAAUUUUUUACUCCAUAUCAUCUUCUCUAAUGGUGAGGUCCAACCAAUAAAUUGCAACAAGAGAUAAAAUUUUAACAAGAUCAUUAUGUGUUUCUAAAGUAUUAUUUUUACCAAUUAUUUUUUUUCAAAGGCAUAUUUGAUUAGGAUAGAUAAGUGUUUAGAUGAUGCAUGUUGAUUCUUACUAUAUAUAUUUAAUCUUUUCAAUAAGUUAGAAUGAUUAAAUUACAAAUUUCCCAAUUCCAUUUUGCCCUUUGGUAACACAAUUUGGGGUUCUUGUUAACAUCUAUUUUGACGUAUAAAGAACUAAACAUUCAACUUCAAGAGAACAAAAAAUCCAUGUUACAAUUUUUUUUGUUAUAAAAUUUGAAUUUAUAUGGGAUAUAAAAUUAAUUAAUGUUAUCAUCAUACAAACAACAAUAGUUAAUACCACAACUUGAUAAAAUUUAUUUAUGAAAUUAUGUUCAUGAUUAACCAAUAAGCUACGAUAGUUCAUCUUACAAAUAUAUGAUUCUAAUUAGUCAACCAUGUGCAUUCAAGUUAUAGUAACAAAAUAACCAAAUUAUUGAAAAAUAAUUAGGACAUACCUCUGAAUAAGCCAUAUCAUCAAAGCUUGUGAUACAAAAGAGAAAAAUAGAUGACAUUAGAGGCCAAUUUGUCAAUAGUCCCUUAUUCUUAUUUGAAGUACUAUAUUUCUUAACAAACUCUUCAGAAUCAGAUAAAUACGCAAUCAAAGAUUCAGGAUGUUGAUGCUCCUUUUUGUGGAGCUUGUGUGUAUGCAAUGUUUCCUGAAAAAUAUAGUGCAAACAUUGGUUGUAUUAAACAUAAUUUUUGGCGAAUACAUAUCAUUGAAUAAAACAUAAAAGUGUAGUUAUAAACAAUAGCAAUGAAAUUAAUGAACUUGCUAUAGUAAAUUAAUAGAUAAUUCAUGCAGGAGUGAGACAAAACUCAAAAGUCCAAUAGAUGCCAUGUUUUAUGCUGCAACACCAUAGAUCAUUGGAAACAAUAAUUUAGAAAAUAAGCAUGUUUGUGCUGGUGAUAGAUUUUGUACAAUUAUUUUUUUAAAAUCCCAUGGCAAUGCUUACAUUUUUCAACAAUGUAUGACUGGAGAUUUUUCUUGUCCUAAACUAUUGGUUUUGUACACAUGCAUGCAUCCGGCACUCCGCCUUGUAAAUUUUAACUCACUGCUUGGGGACCAAAGCUACGUUAUAUGUUUGCACUCCGGCAGGGAUCCUUGUAAAUUCAAUGGAAUAUGUCAACUCUCAGACCACCUUGGGUAGCUUAUUUCAAGUUAUUGGACGAUCAUAAUAUAGCUUAUAUAAUCUAGGACCAUAGUUUAUAUAAUUUAGGAGGGAACAAACAUGCUCUUAGACCCCGUUUGGUUCUUUAUGAGCUCGUAAAAUUCCUGUCACAUCAAAUGUUUAGAUACUAAUUAGGAGUAUUAAAUAUAGACUAAUUACAAAACCAAUUGCACAGAUGGAGACUAAUUUGCGAGACGAAUCUAUUAAGCCUAAUUAGUCCAUGAUUUGACAAUGUGGUGCUACAGUAAACAUGUGCUAAUGAUGGAUUAAUUAGGCUUAAUAGAUUCGUAUAUGCAAUUAGCCUACAUUUAUGUAAUUAGUUUUAUAAUUAGCUCACGUUUAGUCCUCCUAAUUAGCAUUCGAAUAUUCGAUGUGACAUGAAUUUCAGUCCGGACUAAAUAUCUAAACACACCUAACUAGUGGCCAGGCUUCCUGCUGACUGCUGAGUGAGGAUGGAACUUGCCGUGUCAGCAUUAAUCGCCAAUAAUGCAUGCAUAUUGCACCGCUCAUGCGUCAGUGAGCCAGUCAGUCAGGGUAUGGUAUGAUCCACAGCACGUCAUGCAUAGCCGCGCCGAUCCUUUAAUUUGUUGCGUGCUGCUGCCCUCCCUCCUCGCCGAUCUGAUUCUGAUCCGAUCCUUUCAGCUGCUUUCCGAUGAUCCUGUGUCCUUUUCAGAGUUGCAAUUGCAAGCAAACAAGGAUUAAUUACAGUAUUAAUUGCCCCGAUCGAUCACCUCCAAUGAUCCUGCCUGCAUUUGAUGAUUCAUUGUGCUUUUUUUUUUACCUCCUUCAUUUUCCUUCUCUUUAUUAAUUUGUUGCUGCUUCUGUCAGCAGGAUCGAUCACAUUGGAGCCAUGGAGACAGCAGAGGCCCAGGUCUUUUCAAACAAGAAGAAGAAUGUGAAAUUGCCAGUGGGUUUAGCCCAGGAGCAGGCCCAGGCCUGCGAUUAAGAGAAAAGGCCACUCAUCUGCUGCUGUUUCCUUUCAAGCGGGCCUUCAAUGUCAAGCCCACCCAAGCUGACGACGUCGCCGCCCCCCGCCGCCUCAAUGCCUGGGUCUACGAGAGGUUAACCUAUAAAUGGAGGCGGAUAUCGUCAUACAGAGGAUGCUGUAAACAGCUACUCCUAAAAGAAAAGUAGAAAACUUAACGUUAAUGAAUGAAUAUUGUGGAGGAACGUUUGUAAGCUACAGCCUAGCUACAUUAUAGAUUCUACAAGAGGCAUUCACUUUAUGGACAGUGGAACAUUGCAACUUACACAAUUACUAGAGUAGUCGGCACUCCUAAAAUCUGCAAUGAUCUACUACAGAAGUAGCACAUGAAGAGAUCAGUUCUGGACUCCUAACAUAUAACCACAUGAUAUAAUCAUAGAAAAGCUUCUUCUUUCUUGCUUAUUCGUCAUCAAGUUCAGAAAAGAAAAUGUAUCAGUGUUGUUACAGUAUAUGAAUGUCUGAAAAGUUCAAUUGUGUUUCACUGGAAAAUUUUGCACAUGUUUACAAAUAUCAACUAGAUAUCUUCGUGAGAAUUCAUGAGUAUUGCGUUUGAUUGUCGAGCAAUUUCAGAAGAUUUCACGUAGCAAAUUGCCAAAAAAAAAAAACGGUACUUCCCUACAGCCAGCUCUGGUUCAAGCUUUUUGCAGUGCAGUUUCUUGAAGAUCAUAGAAGCAUACUGAAGAUUUGUGCAAGUCUUAUUCACAGCUUAAGUUUCUGAAUACUGAAGGUACUAACAAUGCAAUCUGGCAUACUGCAUGUCAAUGAUCAGACCUUGUUCUCAAAGCUGUGACAGGUAAUAACAAUAAUCAAUUGAGAUUCAGAAUAAAAAAAUGACGGAAGCAUGAAAAAUUAAAAUUUCAUCAUUGUAGCAUGUUUAUUUUACAGCUUAAUGAAGAACAAACAUUUUGUUUCUUUGAUAUCUUGCUGUUGCUGUUUUAAAUUUAACCUGCAAGCAAAGCAGGAGCCUUAGACGUUGUCAAUACAACAUCGCAGAGCUCAGAGGCUCGUACAAAAGCGAAACAUCAAACUCCUCUGGACUUGUACGUGUUGACAAGUUUAGAUCUAUGUAUUUAGAAUUAAAAGUGCCACGUAUAAGAAUGCCAAGAGUAUAUUUUCUUUCAGUUCCAAAAGCAGAUCAUCUUUCCAGUUUACAAUGACUGAUUAGGUAGGAUACUUUCGCAAAAACAUUGGAGCUCUCCCAUUUAUAUAGGAAUUCCUAUAAAGUACAAUCUCUACCGAAUCAAACACAAACUGAUUAACUACCCUAACAAACUUUAACCUUCCUUGAAAAACGGGAGACCCCAAACGAUAUCCUUUGCACAAUGGCAGACUACUGUUGACCACCGGCAGACGAGCAGUCCCCCGUCGUCGUCGUGCCGGAGCAUUGUUGUUGCUCCGAUGGUGCCUGCACCUGCGGACUGAUGUCAAUGCCAAAGAGACGCACCACUCUAACACCUCCAGCCGGCGCAGGCGACGACGGCGGCGCCUCCUCCGCCUUGAUCGACAGCGCGAGCGACAGGCCUGGUGGCGUUGGCGCCGCCGCCGCCGCAAUGUCUUCCUCGGGCUGCAGCGCCAGCGCGAGACACCUCUUCUUGUUCUUCCUGGUGGGCACGAUCGGCGGGCCGGUGUAGUGCACCCUCAUGUGGCCGCCGAGCGCGACCCCCGUGGCGAACACCUUGUGGCACUUGCGGCACUCGUGCGGCGCCUCCUCCCUGCGGGAGCGGCGGAGGGCCGCGAGGAAAGCGGCGGCGUCCACGCCCGCGGGCAUCAUCCCGGCGGCCGCGGCCGCCGCCUCGGCCUCCCUCUGCCUGCUCCUGUGGCCCGCCGCGUGGCCGCCCAGGGCCUGGUUCGUCGUGAACGUCCUGCCGCACUCCUUGCAGGUGUACACCCGCCGUGGUGGUUGAUGAUCGGCGCGCUGGGGGACGACGAGUUGGGGUAGCUGCGCUGCCGCUUCCGGUGGCGGCGCUGCAACCGGAUGGUGGAGGUGGACUAGUUGAGCUUGCUCCGCAAAGGGCGGAGGCGGCGGCGCAGGCAUGUUGUGGACGACGACGGCCUGCGCGCUGCUGCUGCUGCUGUCGCCGGACACGUUGGAGUGGUUGCUCGAUUGAGGAUUAUUCAGAGGUGCAGCCGCCGCCGGUUUGCCCCCUGCCCAGCCCCGCUUGCCGGUGGCGGCCCAGCUCCCAUCGAGCGCGACGACGACGCGCUUGCGCUUCGGCUCCAUCCUGAAGACGGACGCGGGGCUGGGGACGCCGUCGGCGCUGAUGGUCCCGUCCGAUUCGCAGGAGGAAGCGGGCGUGGGGGACGGCAGGGCGUCGCCUCGGCCCAGAGCCAGGACGUCUCCCAUGCUGAGGUGGCGGGGGCGGCGGGCGUGCUGCGGCGGAGGGGCAGGAGCAGGGGCCUGGUAGUCGUCGGUGUCGGAGGAGGAUUGGUAGGCGGCGGGGACGAAUUGGCCCUCCUCUAGGUCAUCAUCAUCGGCGAGGCGGCGGGGAGGGAGGGAGGAGGAGCCGUCGGCCAUGUCGGCGCGGUGGGGGAUUGGGCCGGAGUAGGCCGGGCGGAGUUGUGAACUUGACUAGCAGCUAGGGUUUAGAGCGCGAAGUAGGAGGAGGCUGUGGUGCUUGGUUGUGGGCGGGGAAGAACGGCGGCGGCAGUGGGCUGGCUUAUAUUGCGGCGGCAAAGUAGGGUUUGGCUGGCUAGCGUGGGGACGUCGGAGAUUGCGCGGCAAGCAAGCAGGUCAUCGAGUGGGGUGCGGACUCCAACUCCGAUCCACCCACCCACAAACACGCAAGUAACCGACUAGUACUGCAGGAUUCACUUGAUCUAUCUGCAUCCGAACAUGGUAACUGAAAAUCGCCAUCAAUCUGUUACGCGGCCGAUCUGAAACGGAGUACGCGGAGGAUCGACAGCUAGCUGUACGUGCUUGAGUGGCAAUAAUCCAACGGAUUGAGGUGAGCACGAUACACGUACGGCAGGCAAUCAGACACUUUCUAAUCUUUAUCCCUAGCUAGUGUGACCGGCCUAUAAGCAAGGAAAGAGAUUAAGACUUGCGUUUGUAUUCCAAUUUUUUGAUUGUUUAAUUUUGUAGGCCACGUAAAAUCGUAAAUGAUUAGUUUCAACGAUGGAGGUUUAGCCGUUGGUUGUUGCCAUAAUUGAGGAUAUCGGCUAUCGGCAGUGUAUGAACGGAGAAAGCGAAUCAUGCAACAUUCGUGUGCCCUGUCACUAAUCAGCUAGGGGUUGUUUAUCAAAUACACCCAGGUGUGGAGGGGCUCUUAGCAUUCGAUUUUUUUCUCCGUCGGAUCUGAAGUGGAUGUCUGAGAUGAAAUCCUCCAUCCCUUACCUUCUUCCCACAUGACCCUUAUCCAUUCAUGGUGCACGCGAGGAAAGGCCCGAGCCCCCACCACCUCCACCUCCGCCGCCGCCGCCGCCCCUCACCUCCCACCCUAGGCCCCCCCCCCCCCCCACACACACACAAAAAAAAACUAACCCCUUUUAACGUUGCUCCUUCCCGGUGUCUUCUUCACCAAGUCUGCUCGAUCUCCCCCCACGGCCACCGGCUGCCCGCUCGACUCCGGCGGCAAAAUGCCACCUCCACCACUGCCGUCGACCACGACCGAUGCUAAUCUGUUAGUCUUACGUCUCCGCCGCCUCCAUUGCCCAGGGGUCUUCCAUCACCCGGUUUCGGUGACGCCCUCACCGCCUCCGCUCCCAUGUGUCUCUCCCGCCUCCACUGUCAGCCGGCGAGCCACCCCGAAUCUUCCUUUAGGUCCGUAGGCACAUGUAGUCCCCCAACACUAACCCCCAACCCUGAAACUCUAAAGCUUGCCGGAGGAAUCACCUACCAUUGCCGGAGGAGGAAGAAGAAGCGAUGCAUGCGUCGAUUGGUUGAAAAUUCUGAGUGCUGGAGCCCUCAGCUAUUCAGCUCGCAAUCGCAUCCCAGCAAUAUCGCAUAGGAAAUGGGACGAGGAUCUUGGUCUUGGUGCCAGCAGUGACCGGAUCGCACGGCGACCGGCGUGGACUGGCCCAAAGUCCCACCCACCACCAAAUGGAUCCUGUAAUGUGGGCUCGGCCCAUUUCCUUGCUUGUCCAGGCCCACCCAUCCUAUCGAUGACGUCACCACUCACAGCGACACAGGAGGACGACGUCGCCCUCGGCGCCCGCGCCCGCUUACCCCGCCGGCCGUAUACUCUACUCUAGGGAGCCUCCGCCGCCGGCAGCGGGACAAGUGAUUGGCUGGGCAAUGAUAUGGAGGAGGAGACCGGGGUGCGGCGGUGGCUCGUCGACAUCACGCGGUGGCGCCCCUCCCCCGCCCAGUUCGAUGCCGCAGCCGCCCUCCUUCCCUCGCACGAGCGGCCCGCCAUCGCCAGGUAACUCAACAGCUGCUCCCAUGUACUCGCACCACCUCCCGAUCGCCGGCGCUGCCGAGGGAGGCGCUUUCAUCUCCCCGUGGGAGACACACCUGUGGGCUGUGUGGGUGAGGGAAGCGCCGCGGACUUGGAGCUGGUGGCAUGAGAUAGAUGGACGGGAGCGCGGGAUGCACGGCGGCAAGGUCAGCGGUGGCCGACGGGCGGCAUCGCUGCGCUGUCGGUCGCCGGAUGCCAUGUCCGCCGCCCCCGAAUUUGGCCCCUGAGUUUUACCUAUACCCCCUAAUUUGGAUCGCGAUUAUUAGUCGAAUAUUUGCAAAUAGACCACUUAAGUUUACAAAUACCCCCUAAAUUGGAUCGCGAUUAUUGAUCGCGAUCCGAAUAUUUGCAACAGGCCCCUGCUAUGGUUUGGAUCGGCGCUUCCGGCUGCGAUAUGUCCGCCGCCGGCCUCCGCCGCCCCCGGUCAGAAUCGUUAAGCUCCGACCCAAAUCAAGUCAAGGGCAAACAAUUCGCUCCAUUAUUCAGUGGCAGGGGCGCUCGAUUCAUCAACAUCCGCGGUGAUCCGAGCAAGCAGCCGUGAGCUUGACUUCACCGGUUGGUUUUGGUUCCACGGCAACGGCUUCUUAAUGCUCUUUGUUCACCUUUGCAACUGUGUUUCCGCCAAUUUAGCUAGCAUGCACGUUGCGGUUACCUUAGAACAAGAUGGCAUCAAGUCGACCUCCUCCAUGCCCCUGCAGGUUUGUGAAAGAAGAUGACAGGAAGCGGGCGCUCGUCAGUCGUCUGCUGCAGUACUCGCUUGUGCACCACGUUCUCCGCAUUCCGUUUCACCAGAUCAACAUAUGCCGCACACCAGAGGGAAAACCGUACCUGGUACUUGUACACACACACACACACACACACACUCUGUCCAAUUAUCAUUCCUACAAUCAUCAUCGUUCGCUGUCAGCUACAUCCAAUAAGCAGCAAACCUUUCUGUCUGAGUGCCUGGUCGGUUGCAUUCUGUCACUGAUCACUCCUAUAUUGAUUUGUCUUGCAGCAGAAAAAUUGUUCAAACUUUCCAAACUUCAAUUUCAACAUCUCGCAUCAGGGAGACUACGUUGGCAUAGCAUCUGAGCCUCUUUGCCUCGUUGGCCUGGACAUUGUAUCCAUUUCCAAGCCCCAGGGAGAAACUACUACCGAGUUUAUCAGCAACUUCUCUUCAUACCUCACAGAUCAUGAGUGGAACUGUAUUGUUCGUGCUGGCACACCCAGUGAAGUGCUAACAGAGUUCUACAGGUAUAGCAUUUCAUUCAGGGAUUUCUUGGUAGAUGGCAUAUACAUUCAGAAUCAGCAUUUUAGAGCUAAAACUUAUAUUGGUGGAUGCAGCAAGCCAUCAAUGCACAUGGACUGUCUAUAAUGAAGUAUCCUUUGCCUAAAUUUCUUCAUAACUACCAGAAAAUUUUCUUAACCUUUGAAAUCGGUUGAGCUGGAUGUGCCUUGAAAUUUUGAUUUAGCAUAAUAAAUCUGCGGUUUUGCCAAUAAAGUGGGACUCUCGCACAGCUCCUCUUUCAGUUAGCUCGAGUGCUGAACUACAUCAGAAAAGUUGAAGGGAAUAUUUUUUUAUCUUUAGAACAGAGUAGGUCUCUCUUUUUUUUGAGAAAAAACAGAGUAGGUCUCUGUUUACAUAAUCAUGUACCUCAGAACCUAUGCUUUCAGUGCUAAGCAUGAAGCAGUUCUGGUUUUUCGUUAAGAUUAUUAAGUCGCAAUCAUGACAGUGUGAUCGUACAAAAAUCAUGCCAAUGUUAAUGAUGGUGUCACUGUUACUUCAAAUUCAGUACGACAUCACUCUGUUCUUCAAUAGGUACUGGUGUCUCAAAGAAGCUUUUGUAAAAGCCAUAGGUGCUGGAGUCGGAUUUGGGUUGCAUAGACUGGAAUUCCACCAUGAACACUGGACUGAUAUUUCUAUCCAUAUUGAUGGAGAAGUGUCUAGAAAAUGGAGAUUCUGGCUUUCCGAGCUUGAUGAAGUGCAUUUGGUAUGUAUGGAUCCUUACUACCAUCUACUUCACAUACACAGGAACCUAGUCCUACUGUUCUAGCAGUAUAUUUAAGUACAGAUACCGUCCAUCCAGUUCUAGUCUUGUGGCUGCUUAUAUGCUAACCAUCAACUAAUGGAGAUUGCAGGCAUCUAUAGCAAAAGGGCAUCCAGAGGAUGCUGUAAGCAGCUAUAAGAAAACAUUGUCCAAUGCAACCGUUGUGGAGGAACAAUUACAUUCUACACUAGAGAGUCCAGAUGGAGCUUUCACUUUGUGGACAGUGGAACAACUUACACAAUCACUGGGUAACAGCCUUACAGGUAUCAAGCAUUCUUGAAAUCUACUACAGCAGGACCAAAGGAAGAGAUGUGUGAAUAUGUUCCCAGAAUUCUAGACUCCUGAUAAUCUACUACACAGCCACAGCCACAUGGAAAGGCUUGGUUUUACCUCUGUAUUGCUUCUGUUACAGAAAGGGGUUCUUUUGGCCUUCUGUUUACCAUAACAGAACAUGACAUCAGGAGCACAAAGGUCUUCGCAAUGGCUGCAACGCCUUUAUCGUUCUAUCCUGCAUUCUUGCAGACAUGUAGUGUCAUGGGGCUAAUAAGCAUUGACGUGCCCUGCAUUGAGAAAAGAGGCAUUACUCUUGUAAUUGAGAUUUGAAAGAGAUGAAGAUAAGUGAAAGAGGAGGUUUUAGGAUGAAAUCAAUCUGCCAAUGAAGAGCAGGGGUGUGUGAGGCUAUGAGAGGCACAUGUAGAAUUGCAGGCACGCUUCGUUUUGUAGCAGCAGAAACAUCUAUUUGACUCCUAGCUCUGAUGCUUGCAAAUACUCGAAGCUGUGUUGCUGACACCUACAGUUUGGAACUGCAGUUGAUCAGUUUUGCCAGAAACAGCAAGCAGCCUAUAUCUGUCGCGAGACACCCCAACAAGGUAGGAAGGAAGGAUACCUCUCUUCCUUCCCGGCAUUCCCUCCCUACCCUCCAAACUCCAAAACAAUUUUUUGUUCCGAACUGCAAAAUUUCCCAAACUAAGCAAAAACAAUUUUCUCUCUCUGCCUCGGUCUCCAUCUCUCGUCGUCCAGGCCCGUUCAUGUCUGUGGCUGCCUGCCCUCCGCCGGAGCAGGCAGCACGCGUCCCCCGCAGCCAUGGGCCAAUGCUGCUCCAAGGGCGCCGGGAAGGCCGACGCGGACGCGGACGCGGACGCACCACCAAAGGCGGCGGAGGCGCCGAGCCGCGGCGCGUCGGCGAACCACGGCGGCCACGGACGGCCGUCGUCGUCCGCGAAGCCGGGCUCGCCCACGGCCGCCGCCGGCAGGGUGAGCACGAGCAGCAGCAAGCCGGCGGGGCCCGUGGGCCCGGUGCUGGGGCGGCCCAUGGAGGACGUUCGCACGACGUACUCGAUGGGGAAGGAGCUCGGGCGCGGGCAGUUCGGGGUGACGCACCUGUGCACGCACCGCGCGACGGGGGAGAAGCUGGCGUGCAAGACGAUCGCGAAGCGGAAGCUGGCGAGCAAGGAGGACGUGGACGACGUGCGGCGCGAGGUCCAGAUCAUGCACCACCUCUCCGGCCAGCCCAACGUCGUCGGCCUCCGCGGCGCCUACGAGGACAAGCACAACGUCCACCUCGUCAUGGAGCUCUGCGCCGGCGGCGAGCUCUUCGACCGGAUCAUCGCCAGGGGCCAGUACACGGAGCGCGCCGCCGCGUCGCUGCUGCGCACCAUCGUGGAGAUCGUGCACAGCUGCCACUCCAUGGGGGUGAUGCACCGGGACAUCAAGCCCGAGAACUUCCUGCUGCUCAGCAAGGACGAGGACGCGCCGCUCAAGGCCACCGACUUCGGCCUCUCCGUCUUCUACAAGGAAGGCGAGGUGCUCAGGGACAUCGUCGGCAGCGCCUACUACAUCGCGCCCGAGGUGCUCAAGAGGAGGUACGGCCCGGAGGCAGACAUCUGGAGCGUCGGCGUCAUGCUCUACAUCUUCCUCGCCGGCGUGCCCCCGUUCUGGGCAGAGAAUGAGAAUGGCAUCUUCACCGCCAUCCUGCGCGGGCAGCUUGACCUCGCCAGCGAGCCAUGGCCGCAUAUCUCGUCGGGAGCCAAGGACCUCGUCAAGAAGAUGCUCAACAUCAACCCCAAGGACCGGCUCACGGCGUUCCAGGUCCUCAGUAAGUAAUGCUGACAUCAUUCGUAGUAGCAAGUAGCAGCACAUAUGGAUGUCAAUGUGGCAUUGACCCGACAAAUUGACAACUUGUAGACCACCCAUGGAUCAAGGAAGAUGGAGAUGCACCUGACACGCCACUUGACAAUGUUGUGCUCAACAGGCUCAAGCAGUUCAGGGCCAUGAACCAGUUCAAGAAAGCAGCACUGAGGGUACAUAUAUCUUAUAACAACUUCACAUAUCAAACUGCUGAAGAACAAUGCUUACAAGGAAAAUUUAAAUUAUGCACUGAACCUAAAUGUAGAUCAUAGCUGGGUGCCUGUCCGAGGAGGAGAUCACUGGGCUGAAGGAGAUGUUCAAGAAUAUCGACAAAGAUAACAGCGGGACCAUUACGCUUGAUGAGCUCAAAAAUGGGUUGGCCAAGCAUGGAACCAAGCUGACAGACAGUGAAAUUCAGCAACUGAUGGAAGCAGUAAGUUUUCACUUUUCAGAUUACAAUUUUUUUUAUAAAAAAAACUGUCGUUCUAUUCACGGUUAGAACUUAGAAGGUUCAUAUGGAAAGAUCCCCUUUUGAUUCCUUUUAUAUAAUUCCAGGCUGAUGCUGAUGGCAACGGGUUAAUUGACUAUGACGAGUUCGUCACCGCAACAGUACACAUGAACAAACUGGAUAGAGAGGAGCACCUUUACACAGCAUUCCAGUAUUUCGACAAGGAUAACAGUGGGUGGGUUAAACGUUGAAACCAACACAGCUGAGACACCUGACUUCAGGACUACAGAUAUUAUAGAACACAUAUACUUCAUUUGUCUUGCAGGUACAUUACAAAAGAAGAGCUUGAGCAAGCCUUGAAGGAGCAAGGGUUGUAUGACGCUGAGAAAAUCAAGGAGGUCAUCUCAGAUGCCGACUCUGACAAUGUAAGGAACAAAUAUUAUGUAAAUUUAGUUGGUAUAAUAAACAAUAGAAACUACAGCAUCAUCAGUGUUACAAAGGGGGGACUAUACAGAAAUAGAAUCCAGUAGAUCAAAUGAUUAAAUUGUCAUGAUUAAUUGUUCCUCUACUGAUUGUAUAUGUUUUUAGUUAAGACUAAGAUUUAUUUUUGCGCAUGCAGGAUGGAAGGAUAGAUUAUUCAGAGUUUGUGGCGAUGAUGAGGAAAGGGACAGCUGGUGCUGAGCCAAUGACCAACAAGAAGAGGAGAAAUGUAGUCCUAUAGUGAAGCAGAAAGUGUGUAAUAUGUAUAGCAGCUCAAACAACCAAAUUUGCAGAACUGUACACAAACGAUUCAGUUCAUGGAUGGUUGUGCAAUAUGAUGGCGAUUCAGCAUGUGCACAUUUCAGAAGACUACUCAUGGCAUCUAUCAUUCUCAUUUGUUCUUGCAGAAAAACAGAUGAUAUGUUUGAGGGAACAUCAUCCAACAAGACCUACUGAUACAGAAAAACUUCAAUAGUUCAAUGCAACUUUCUUCACACAAAUUGCAAACUGAACAAAUGAUAAGGGUAACCAUAUGACAGAAGCCACAAUGAUGUCAGUUUAUCAAUUAAAAAAUGAGGAUAUUUGCGUGGUCCAAAACAGACCUCAAAUAAUAACAAGAUACAAUGGGCCAAUCGGGGAACCUUUCUCUACGUAAAAGAAAUGGCGAUUGCAAUGAGCACUUGCACAGACUGUACACGGAAUUGGGAGAAUGGCCUAUAUGCUAACAAGGAAGAUAUUAUAGUUUAAUUAUUUCACAGAACGUGUUUCUUGCAUGUGGCAGCAUGAAUAAAAAUACGAAAUAGAGGAAUUAGGAAGUUUGUUCUUACCAAGGAGAAUUCAGCUAGUGGUUUCUAGAGAACCCUUCACUUGCAGAGCUUCACGUUCCCUUUGGCGACGUUCUCUCUAUCAAGUUGGACAUAAAGUUACAUGAUAUACAUGGAUAAAAAAACUGGAACUUGAUUUAGUGUAUCAGUGUUACCAUGUUAGACUUUGUAUAACUUCUCAUAAAUGCGUAUAUCAAAUCAAGAAAAGAACACAUGGAUAAAAAAAAGUUCUCCACCCAAAGGCAUUAUUCUGAUACAAUAUUGCAAGAACUCCUGAAAUAUAAUCCUUAAAAUCUAUGGAGCUAAAAUUUCACAGCAACGUGCAGACUGUAGUUACUGUCAUUUUUACCCCAUCCAAGCGUUUCUACAAAAAACAGUCUCUGCACAAAUAUGCAGCAGGAAACAGGGCACCCAAAACACAAAUCCAUUUAAAAGAACACGCACGUUAUUGGCUUGCAAUUAAGAACCGCGAGGUGAUGCAGUCCUGAUCAAUGGAAAAACCCAGCAACCCGCGUCUCCCUGGCCACAUAGGCAUUUCUGCAAACAGCCGACGCGCACACUCCAAACAACAGCGAUCAGCGAGUGCUUGCAAUUAAAGGCGCGGCAGCCAGCAUUGCUCAGCCAGAGUGUCAAUAUUGCUGCUAGAGCAGUGGUAAAGGAGGAGGAUUAAAGGCUAAAUCCCUGACCUCUGCGAUCGGAAGGGCCCAAGAAAGGUGGAGGAGGACAAGUAGUGUACGGCAGUACCCUUCGUUCCCAGUAGGGGUGGAAGCAGACGAAGUCAUAGACGGGGGAGAUGGUGUUGACGAGCACGAGGUUGACGCCCAUGAAGACGAGCAGCCCCGUCAUCGGCCGCGCUCGGUGCGGCAUCUCGCUCUCUCCCCUCGCCCCUUUCCCGCCGGCGCCUUCCUCGGCCGAGACCAGGCGAGAGACGACUCCUCAACGAGCGGUGAAACACCUCAAGGACCAGAGCGAGGCGAGAAGGGCGGCUGCGUCGGAUGUUUAGCGAGAUCAAGGAGACCGGCGGCGGCUUGAGCAGGGCGGCGGCGCGGCCGGUCUGGGGCUCUGGGCACACCCGGCGCACGGCGAACUCGCGAAGCGAGAAGAUCGGUGGUUAGGAUCGAUCUCUGCCGCACAGUUCUGAUCCAACGGCUACACGUGUCCCGCCUAAGGGUGGAAGAGGUUGGCAAACUUUGCAAGUAAGAGCAACUCCAAGAGGUUGCUAAUCUUACCCCCGAUACUUUUUUAAGGGAAAAAAGAGAAAAAACGAACUCCAACAGUCUACCCAAACCUUCCCUAAUUUUUUAGCAACGCUAAAAAACAGCCUACCACCGCGUAUAUUUUAGCGUUGGCAUUCCUUCCCCAAUUUUGAUUCCCGCACGCUCGCGCGUCCCUUCCGAUGAGCCCAAUACGAUGACGUGGCCUGUUUUAAAUAUUGGGGGCUAUUUAUUAGCGAUCUGCUAUGGAUUGAUAUGUUUUUGGGGAAAUUUUUUUUGGAAGAACCCCAAAUACAUAGUUUUAGGGAAGAAUUUUUUGGAGUACUCUUGGAGUUGCUCUAAGCCCCUCGUUUCGUUUGGGGCUGACAGUUGUGUUUGCAUAAAGGCCCUUGCUAGCCAGGGUCGCGGGUCGCCACCUUGGCAGUGGGCACCUUGCCAGUAGCGGUGUUCCAAAUUUCCGUAAAUUUUAGCAAAAUUCGUGUUGAAAUUCGUCUUUUUUCCUGGUGAGCGAAAUUGGUUAAUUUCGGUUACAAAUUUCAAAAAAGAUGAGUCAGUGUGUCAUUAUAUAGGCUAUAGAAUUUAAGUGCCAAUAGGCAAAUGUUGAUGGACCAACAUAAUUCUCGUCUGGGCUCUCAUGCACAACUCUACAAGGCCCAAUACAAUGUGAGGCCCGGCCUGACCUACAUGAGUGGUGGUUGAUCCCGUACGACGAAGAAUGCGGCCGCCGCCGGCCGCCCUGCGUCGACGUCAUGGCUCGUGGGUGCCAAAUCAAACCCAACCAAAAAGCUUUAGCUUUCCCUUUGCUCGAGGGAGACGGAGAUGGCGCCCAAGAGGAAGCCUCAUGGCGACGGCGUGGGGGAAUCACCAGAUGAUGAGUUCGUAGCAAAGCCGUCGGACGACACGAAGGAAUCGUCAGCCGAGUUCGCCAGGCCGGUUUACCUUGUGGCAGCGCGCGGCCUACUCCGUCCUGGAGAUCGACGCCGCUGCCGCUGCCGCUGCCGGUGGCGACGAGCCGCCGCGCAUCCGCACCGUUGCCGCGCUGCCCCUGGCCGAGCCUGGCAUAUCUUUCGUCGCCGCGCAUUCGGAGCACGGCUCCUGGAUCGUCGGCGUCGGCGGUGGGCUAAGAGCGGGCACCAUCAUCUUCGACCCGAGGACAAUGAAGACGUUCCACGGCCCGCGGCUCGGGUACCCCAAGCACGAGCCCGUCCUGAUCUCGCACGGCGGCGAGGUAUACGCCAUCUCACACCGCCCCCGGGUGGUGCCCCGCAUCGACUGCGAGCCAUGGUUCGAAUGCCUCAGCUUCAACAAGGGUGUGCCCUCCACAGACUGCGGCCUUUGGAUCUCCUGGAGCCACCUGCCACCACCACCCUUCUUCCUCGCUUCCUGAACCCCUAUGAAUUUCGCAGUCCACCCGAAAUUUCAGUCUCAUCCUAUGCCGUCGUGGGCUCCUACAUCUUGAUUUCCCCGCAACCAGAGCUAGUGGUCGGAACUCACGCUUUUCAUGUGGUGAACAAGACGUGGGAGAAGAUCCACGACGAGAACCUGCCUUUUGUUGGCCAGGCUGUGCCCGUCGGCGGCAGCCUCUUCGCCGCCGGCCUCGUAUCCAACCAGGCUAUCACUGGCUCUGCCUCCCUGUUCCACAUGUCCAUCGAUGAUGUCUCCUCGUGGACCUCUGAUGCGGUGGUGAGCACUCCCUCAUUAUCAAUCCAAGAGUUGAAAAUGGUGGCAUCAGAGGACAAGAUUCCAUGGCCAUUCUUCUGCCCACUGGGAAAGGGCAGCUUCUGUUUGAUCAGGUUAGUGUCCUCUUGUCGCCGGCACAGACACAAAGCCAACUACUUGAAAAAGCGGCUCCGGGUUAGCUUGACUACUUUAACGGAUCGAGAACACUGAGGCUAUCAUGGCUCACUGUCAGUCCCAAGGCGCCAAGGCUAAGGACCUACUAGUUGGAGAACAAGUCAAGGAACAGAGUUAUACAUGCAAAUCCAAAGGCCUAUUUGGCAUGGCUGUGGUUGCUGCCCUCUCCAUGUAAGCAUAUGAGGAGUGUCCCUCUCUUUUACUUCUUUAGGCUAUAGCUAUCCAUUUUAAUUUCUUCUGCUGCUACUGGAUUAAAUCUUCUACAUAUUUGUUCCAGCAAUUGAACUGAAAUUAAAACUGAACUACAGAUAUCAUGGAACACAUAGCUUCAUUUAUCUGGCAGGUACAUUAGAAGAGAAGGGCUUAAGCAAGCCUAACGAGGUGUAUGAGGCCAAUAAAAUCAAAUAGAUAUGCUGAUUCUGACAAUGUAAGGAACAAAUAUUAUGUAAAUUUAGUUGAUAUAUUAAACCACAACAUUAGUAGUGUUACGAAAUAAAAUCCAGCUGAACAAAUCAGUAAAUUGCCAUGGUUAAUUGUUCCUCGUAUUGAUUGCGUAUGUUUCUAGUUUCUUAAAUUAAGAGGUUAAAAUUUACUUUGCACAUGUAGGAUGGAAGGAGGGAUUAUUCCAGUGGCGAUGAUGAGGAAAGGGACAGCUGGUGCUGACUGAUGAGCCAAUGAACAACAAGAAGAGGCGAGAGGUAGUCCUAUAGUGAAGCAGUAAGCGUGUAAUGUGUACAGCACUCAAACAAGCAAAAUUUGCACAACUUUACACAAGUGCAAUGGAGUUAUUUAUAGAUGGUUGUAUGUGUACAAUUGUGCUAUUGAUUGAAGGGGAUUUGAAUGCAAUACUUACAAAUAAGAAAGACAUGGACCAGUUCAUGGUGCAUGCUAGUAACUCCAGAAACACAUAAUAAAUUAGGCUUUAUUUUUUCAAGUAAAAUCAUGUAUGGAUGUGGGAGGGCAGAAGAGAGUUGCUGGCGAGUGGUGACCCAUGUUUGCAGUUAGGCUCCAAUGUAAAAAUACAUGUUUCCAUGCCUAAGGGAAAAAGUCUUAAUAAGCUAAUAAAGUAGGAAAUGUGCCAAGGCCAACAACAAUAAUCCAGUACAAGGAAAACAUCUUAUGGAAUUAACAAACUUUGAGAAACGAACAAGCAAGCAUGUGUAAAUCGCAACAUUAUUUUCAUUUACAUGGAUAAAAGAGUGAAGUCAAUGGGAGAGAAGCCAUGGGAAGAACUGCAAAUCUUGAAGGCCUGCUCCCUCUUGCUGGAGAUCACAACCUCCGGCUUCACGGCUGCGUGAGUUUCUCCCUCGGGAGUCUCCAGGAGGAGUGAAAGGUUCUCUGUUCGGUAGGUUGUCAAGUUUACAUGCGCCUUCCGUGGAAGCCAUUCCUCGUGCUCGGCAUGAAAGCUCAAGCUAGGCCUGCUGCCAUCGAGCGACAAACUCAGAAGCGUCCAUUGUCCAAGGAAGCGAAGCAUGACCCUCCUACAACUGCAACUUCAUGGCCCUCGUAUUUCACCGGGAGCACAGUGAUGGAUAACUUGAGAGCGUUGUUCUUGCCAGAGGCAGCGACGCGAAUGUGGUAGCCAUUGAUGGGGCCAUUGUUCUUAGAUGCGGCGAGGAAGAUGGAGCCGUGCUGGGUGGCACGGCCGACGAAGGGCAGCCUGUCGUCGUCAACCUUGUGCCACUCGUGUGAGUCGGUGUCAGAUGCGUGCGUGCCCCAUGCCUGGUUGAAGAACGAUACCAGUAUGUAGGCGCCGACCACCGCGUAGGACACGAGGAUCACAACAGGCAGCAUGGUGGAGCCAAUCGGGGUGAGCUUCCAAGGGAAGCAAGGUGGAUGCGGCAGCUGAGCCCAGGAACACCCCUCCAGGUGGCGGCGGCCGGCGACGGAGACGACGACUCUGGCCUGGGAGAGGUCGAGGACCUCGAACCACGGCGGGAAGUCGGGGUCCGAGAUCCAGGAGGGGGCAUGGGACAGGGCGUAGACCCUGUCCCCCACGGCCGCCAGCGCAGGGCACGGCCUGGCGGAGCUGAGGCUCGGCCUGCGUCGUGGUGUCGAAGAUGACGGUGUCGCCGGGAUCACCGCCGGCGCCGACCACGCCGGGGAAGGAAGCGGUAUGAAUUGGAGUCGCUUUAUUGUUGCAAGUCAAAUAAUUGUAUUAACGCACGACGGGGAUGGAAGUUUCAGUCAAAGCCCGAGAGGCAACGCAAUACAACUUCAUAUACCGUUAUUAAAAACAGAUUUUGAUACAUAUAGCAAUGAACUUAUCAUUGGCCAUCAGUAUUUGUACUUUGACUGGUAGCAAUAUCACGAGCAUUGCAAUUGUUGCUUGCUACCAUGUGUUCCAUGUUAGCACGGAAAAUUGUGCAUCUCUACGUGUUGCAGUAACAGACAACGUGCUCAUGGGCCAUGGCUCAUAAAUGAUACCCACUAACAUAAUCUCCUUUCAUGCUAUCUUACCGUACAAGAAGGCAAUCUCAUGCUCUAAGUUGACUCUUCUAACUCUUCUCCAAAUCGAUCCAGCCUUGACACCUCUGCAUCAUAAUCACGGAUUAGAGUAUGGUUAACAGAGCCAUCAUCUUCACUCGCAUGGAUUUGCCGCCCGCCAAACCUGCAAUGUGAAAAAAUGAAUAAAUUUUAUAGCGACAGAUCAAUCCAGGAGCACAAAUGGUACUUGCUCAGCAUUCUUUUAUAUAAUCAUAGAGUCAGUUGUAUUUUGAAUCAGAUGGCAAAAUUUUCCACAACGUUUCAGACCCAAAUCAACGAGGAAAUGAUAUAUUAAAGGUUUUGUGAGGGAAACAAACAUGAGAUGCAACCCAAAAUUCCAUCAGAUUCAGCUAAUAUCACCACACCAUCACUUCAUCAGAAACAAAGGAGAAAGGAAUGAUUUGGGUUGACUUACCAUCUGCCAUUCAUCUUCUCUAUGCACUUGGCGCCAUCUUUCCGGUCUUUGAAUUUCACCAACAUGACACCCUGUGGAUGAUUUUCACAAACCUGCAUGCAGAAACAUGUAAAAUUAACAACAGUGGUUUGGUGGAAACCAGAGAAGGAUGCAAGAGGCACAAUUUGGUGAGUUGCGGCUGAUCCAUGCCAAUCUGACUUCUUUUUGGAUGAUUUAUUGGUAUCUCAUUAUUAUAUUGAAACGAUCAAAAGUUCGUUUUGCAACAAAAUUGGUAACAUCUGUUUUCCAGACAAGUCAGAAAAGCUCCAUGUCUGAGGGUAGGUGUACCUUGACAUUAUCCACUGGACCAAACUUGACGCAUUCCUCUCUAACAUCUGCCUCAAGCUCAGUAAGAAGUUCUUCAUCAGCCUGCAAGGUCAGGAUAUUCUUGGUUAAUCCAAGAUAAACGAGAAAAAAAAAGUUGCUAUGCAGCAUGCACCUCAUGAGCAAAAUCUAAAAUGAUCUAAUGUGCAACCAAGUACAAGUAAGCCCAGUCCCAGAUCAAAAGCGCACAUAUUGCAGAAGGCAUCAAGAUACUUCAGCUACUUACUCUCAACUCAGCCGGAGUGAACAUGUGCCGCAAAAUAACGGUAGUAGGAAUCAUCACCUUCUUAUCAUCAUGUCCACCUAGUUAGAGGAAAUUAUGAAGAAAAAAAUGAGGUUAGAUCCCAAGUUUGAAUCAGCUAUGAUUAAAAUAACUACCCAAAAACAACGAUCAAGAUUACCCCAUCCAAGCAUUUUGUCUUCAACCUUUUUGGUCUUCCUUUUCUUUUGUUUAUCAGUUUUCUUUGCAAUGAAAACAUCACCUGAAACACAAGUAACAGCAUCAGUGAUAAGUUUUGUAGCUGAUGGCACACAGAAGGUAUUUGGUUUUUCUUAUAGAACCAUGAAACAAUACCUUUCUGCUGAAAUUCGGCCGGACUUAGAGACAUCAGAGUCUUGCCACCAGGACGGAAUGAUGUCCUAUCCAACAACUGAACUGCUAAAGCUACAGAAGGCUCCUGUAUCAUGGAAAGGGAAAAGCACAUGAAAAAGAAAUGCAUAGUGAUUCCAAAUAUCUGAGCAGCUUAACAAGGGGAUACCUUGAGAUAUGUCACCAAGGCAUCUCCCUUUUUCCUCCCAGUUUCCUUAUCAGUAUAGAUCUUCACCCGGGGCUUUUUAGUCUCAGGGUCCUGUAAUAUCGAUUAUCAACAACACGUGUCCAAUGCUUUAAAGUUUAAGAAAGAAAUGUAAAUGCCACAUCACAGCCAUAUCCUUCAAAAACAUAAUAUUAAUAAGAGAAACAAAAAUAGUUAUUCAAGUAAAGUAAAUGUCAAAUAAAUCUUGUAGUAUUUUUUCAGUCUUAAGGCGCCCACAGCGUUUCAUAUAUUAACAUUAUAUCCACCUAUAACUUAUGGGCAUUGUGCCAAUAUCUAGUAUCAUAAUGCAUGCUGCAAGUUUGGACAACUGAAAUUAGCUAAUUGCUCAAUUUGAUAGUGAAAUAUAUAACCAAUGAGUUGAACAGUUUGCAAAAAUGAACAGACUUGACAUGAAGAAUUGAAGGUCCCAAGAUUCAGAUAAGUCAAACUACAAAGUUUUUGCCAAUUAGUUACAUUCUCAGAUGGCAAUUAGUUACAUUCUCAGAUGGCAACUACAUACUAGUCACUAGUCCAAAUACUGGCAAAACCAAGUUUCUUCACAAGAGAGAAAAAUCAAAACAUCACCAAGAGUGAAUAACACAAACGCAACAGUUUUGUCUUUGCAACACAGCAGAUUAAAAGCAUACCUCCUUUAUUAUUCCACACUUGGAAAAUACCUCCACGAUCUGCAAAAGAAAUCCAGCAUCAGAAGUUCAGAACAAGCGUUUCAAGAAUAACCAACUGAUUAAGAAUGUGUUAAAUGGUCGUUCAACAAAAUGAUCUCCUAGAGAAAUGAAAUGUGGUUACAGAAUUAGUUCAUACAAGUAAUUUACCUCCUCCAGUGUGACAUCAUCAGGCAGUCCAUUUACAUAGACAUGUGUGUUGACUUUGAGAUCAAACCAACUGUCUGGAGGUUUGUUAGCUUCCUACCACAGAAGUCCAACAGAUAAGUACAAGACUAGAUGCGACCAAACUUACCAAGAACUCCUACAAUGACUUGGAAACAAUACCUUCUUUUCAGCUGUUUUCUCAGAAGAUUUCCGUUUCUUGUCCCCUCUCUUUUCCACUUUGUCUAAUUCUUUGUUCUUGUUUUCAUCCAGUGUGUUGACUUCUUCUACUGCAGAAGUACCAGGGAUAUCUGGCGCCUGAAAUACUUCUUCCUCAAGUGCAAAAGUCAUCUCUUCAACAGCAUAAUCUUCCUCUUUACCUGAUGUGUCAUUCUACAAAGGCGUAACAAAAACUAUAAAAAAAAUAAAGCUAGCAAAGAAUAUUAAAAAGGUGAGGGGAAAGUUGUUG
rnacentral:lncRNA from 1 species